UCUUUUUUUUUUUUUUUUUUUGUAAAGGCUCCAAUUUAUAAUGUUAACAUGUGCCCUUCAAGUAUAAAGGGUCGAGAGACAAAGUUAUGAGGUUUUAGACCUUAUAGCGGUGAUAUUGAUCUAUAGCGACAUCUCCGUUACUGCCAUCAUCGAUUUUUUCUGCAAUUAUUAUUAAAAAACAUAAUGGUGAAAUCCAUAUCAUGUGCAAAGUACUUUAUAUGCGUGCGCACUGAUGAUGAAGUAUAUACAUAUAUUGUACAUAUCACAUGACCACGUACUGUUGGUCUCCCAACAAAGUGCAUGGCUGUUAGAGAGGUUGGAGUUUACUUGUCCUCACGAAGAAAAGAAUGAGGUGCUAUUUCUACUCCUUUGAAAUGAAGUAGCAAAAGUUUUCAUAUUACCAAUUGAUUAAAUCACAGACCUGGAUGUUUGUGGGUGAAGGUAUCCCAUAUGCUUGGUCCUCUUCCAUCUUCUUUUACUGCACCUUCAUACUGAAAUACACACACAUGCAUAUACGUAAGAGUACUACUACACACGCAAGGAAGAUGACAACAUUAUAAUUCAUGCAUGGAUGCUAGCUGCAUGUAUAAAAUACACCAAAAAUGUGGUAAAUAAAGACAGAAGAUAUAUAUAUACUGACCUGGUAAGAUGCAGAACCUGUGCCAAAUAUGAACCCUGGUUCAAAACUGCUGCGAUUGAGAAAUUCGCAAUGAACAGGUGGAUCUGUAUUAGUUGCUUUGCCAUUUGUCAAUGCAAAGCCAAUGAGUAGCAGCACACCAAAGAGCAAAGAUCGUGAAUAUUUCAUUGCCAUAACUUGGGAGUUUUGAUAUCGAUCGAGAUAAUUAAGUUAUCUCCUCCGGGAAUAUUGCAUGGGGUUUAUAUAGAGAAAGGGAGGAAGGGAUAUGGUGUCUACGUACUAGCUCAUGAGAAUAAUAAAGGGUUAAAAUUUGUAAACAAAAUUGGCUUUGAAAGUCCUAGUUUAAAGACCAAGUCAAGGUAUAUUUCAAAAAAAAACAAAAGACCAAGUCAUGGUGUGUAGUUUAAAAGAAAGCACGUUUCAUGCACCCAAAAGUUGCGUAUAUACGUACGUAAAACAAUGGAUGAUCCUUGCGUUCUACCUAUGAGGAAUGCACAUAUUCUACAAAUUUUAUAUUGUGAUCGUUCAGUUUCUUAAUCUUUAUUUCAAAAUCAUCUAAACAAAAAGAAUUAUUUGAAUCUGAGAUAGUUUAGUCAUUUAAAUAUAUGAACCCAAUCGACAGUGUUGAUACUAAGUAAAAGACUUAUAUUGAACUAUUCAUUUUAUUGAUAUAUUUGGAUCACUAAACAGUCUUCAAUUUGAAUAGUUUUUUGUAUAUAUGAUAUUCAAAUUAAGAUUAAAAAAUUAAUAACUCAUUCAAACAGUAGAAAACUAUUUGACUCGCAAAAAAGUAGAAAAUUUUGACCAGAAUUCUUUAUGUAAGUACAUAACCGAUAAAGAUGAAGAAUUUAAUCUUGAUCUUUUUCUUCUUGUUAGAGUUUUAGUAUUGAAUCGGUAAACCCAGUGGUUUUGUGAAAUUGUCCUUCCACUCUGAUUAAGAAGGCAUCGAGAUAGCUAGGUUCUCAAGUUGGCUAUUUUGCUCCUAAAGAUUGUGAAAGGAUUCCAUUGGGGUGGCUUUUUCGAAGGUUUGGACACCCUUCAAAGUAUAGUGGUUACACAUUCUUCUUGCUAGUACAAGAAUGAGAAUAGUAAAGGGUUAAAAUUUGUAAACAAAAUUGGCUUUGAAAGUCCUAGUUUAAAGUCCAAGUCAUGGUCUGUAAUUUAAAAGAAAGCACGUUUCAUGUACCCAAAAGUUGUUUACGUACGUAAAAGAAUGGAUAAUACUUGCGUUCCACCUAUGAGGAAUGCACAUAUUCUACAAAUUUUAUAUUGUGAUCGUUCAGUUUCAUAAUCUUUCCUUGCAGAUCAUCUAAACAAAAACAAUUAUAUGAAUAUGAGAUCGUUUAAUCAUUUAAAUAUAUGAACCCAAUCGACAGUGUAGACACUAAGUAAAAGAUUUAUAGCGAACUAUUCAUUUUAUUGAUACAUUUGGAUGACUAAACGGUCUUUAAUUUGAGUAGUUUUUUGUAUAUAUGAUAUUCAAAUUAAGAUUAAGAAAUUAAUAACUUAUACUACAAAAAUACAUUAUUUAUAAAAAAAAAAUAUUCCUUGAGUUGAAAAGUAAGAUAAUGUACACAACAAUUCGAUCGAUCUCAUCUUAAUUUGAAAUGAUCAAUCCUUGAGUUACCCUUGAGUUUUCCAGCAAAAGAAAAUGUUUUCUGUAUUCGGAAACAAAGAGUCAUUUAUCUGCAUGUUUAUAUUAUGUCUGUCCAACUGUUGAAGGGCAUAACUUUUGAAGUUGAAUAUGGACGAUUAGCUACAGAGACUUAUUCAAACUACAGAAAACUAUUUGACCCAACAAAAAAAGUAGAAAUUUAUGACCGUAAUUCUUUACGUAAGUACAUAAUCGAUAAAGAUGAAGAUUUUAAUCUUGAUCUUUUACUUCUUGAUAGAGCUUUAAUAUUGAAUCCGUGAACCCAAUGGUUUUGUGAAAUUGUUUUUCCACGCUAAUUAAGAAGGCAUCGAAAUAGCUAGGUUCUCAAAUUGGCUAUUUCGCUCCUAAAGAUUGUGAAAGGAUACCAUUAGGGUGGCUUCUUCUUGGUAGUACAAGAAAUUGAUUAGCUGUUUCAAGAGACUGGUUUUUUAUUAGCUUACAUCUAUUUAUUUUGAUUUAAUAUUUUUUUACAAUUCAAAAACACAAAAUUUUGACCCCCCUCUAAUUUUUCUAAUUUUUUUCUUUAUUUGAAUUUUCGGGACUUAUAUUGAAUUUUAAUGUGUGUCUCACAACCUGAAGGGAUUGGGAGGGAGGAUCAUUUCAUUUUUGGAUAUAGAACGAAUAGGUUCAGGAGAUGAGAGAAUUAAGGAUACCCACCAGAAACACUAAUCCAAUGCAUAAUGAUGUGCCGAAAAAUGGAACAUUUUUGUUACCCCACCAACCCUCAGGAGAAGCAAAUGCGACACGUACACUAAUCAGUAAAUUAAAGAAUUAGCAUUUAAUGCAGAAAUAGCCAAGAGGAAAGCAAUAGUCAUGUUUCUAAUCCUCCAAUCUACCAACAAAAGAAUUAUACUAUUUGAUCCCUUUAUCAACCAAAAAAUUGUACGCCUUAUAUACUGCUUUUGGGAAACCCUCUCAACAACUAAGACAUCCAUUCGCUGAACAAGGGGACUAGUUGACGUACGAAUCCUCCCAAUAUUGGGAGGAUCCGUACUUCAGUUGAGCUAAUGACAAAUCAUUUCACCAUUUUAGUUGGAACUUUAGGCGGUAAUCCAUUUUAUAUGGAAAGGUAGUCUUCAUGCAGCCACUCUAACUAAACACUUUACUAAUGUUCUUCAACUGUUACCAUAUUUUUGUGAUAUAUUUUUCUACGUCUUUUAUAUUUGUUUACCUUAUUUAUAAAACGAUUAAGGUUUUACAAAUUUUGGAGACGAAAUUUAUUUUAAGGGGGGUUGAUUGUAAUACUCCGUAUUUUAAAAACAAACUACACACACACACACACACAUGUAGGGCUAGGUUCUGUUUGAAACGGUUCGAUUUUUUGCCAAAACCGAAACCAAACUGAAAUUUUGGUUCGGUUCAAUUUUUUUUCGGUUUUAGUUUUUUUCGGUUCGGUUUCGGCCCGAUUCGAUUUUUUGGUAAAUCUGGAUAUUGGUACUGAUCAAACCACUAUCUUCAUCUACAAAUCACAACAACAAUUACAUUCAUUUAGGGUUUGUAGGAUUUGUGGGCUCAUAUUGAUGCAACAAAAUACGAAGAGGGAAAAGCUAAUUUUUUUGGUCAGAACAUGAAUCUUUUAUCCAACACAAUAAAAAUAAAAUAAAAAAACUUGGAUUGAAUCAGAUGGAAAGAAACAAACACAGAUACAUAAUCUACAUCCCCACGCAUGAUCUGCAACCCAUACUUUCUUUGCUCUAUGUCCGUUUAUUGAAUCUAAAACCAAUACAUAAUCUGCAGCACACACCUCUAUUCAUCUCCACCCAUUUUUUUCUCCAUAACUAUAAUGAAAACUCUAUCACAUCUUCACGGAUAGCACAAAAUCUAAAUAUUGAAUCUCAUACACUAACUGCAAAUCAAUAACCCAAAUCCCUAAAUCUAGAAAACCCUAAGUUACUCUUCCUAAAUCCCUAAAGUUGAAUACCUUUUGAUUGAGAUAGAAGAGGGGAUGUCGCAGGGUCAGCAUGCUCGCAGCCAUGGGGAUGGGUGCCAGAGCCAGAGGGAUGACUGAGAGAGAAGAGGGGACGAGAUAGAGAAAAGGGAGAAAUUGGAUGCAUGGACAUGGAGGGUCUCACAAAUAUGAAGCUUGGAAUAGAAAGGAGGGUGCGGGUUAUGGAGAAGAAUGGAGAAAUGGACAUGGAGGAAGUCUGGAGGCAGGGAACGAUAGAGAGAGAAGAGGGGAAUGAAAAUUAGAAAAAGUGUGGUUGCGCUAGGGUUUUGUUGAUUUGGUCAUAAAAAUUAAAAAAAAAUCUCCAAAAUCCAGGAGGCAUGAGGAGGGUUUGAACCCAUGCGCUCCACCAGCUUGGAAAGUUUCACUGAAACCAACCUCACAACAGGUUCUGUUUUAUUAUAAUUGUAUGACUAAACUAUUUAUAAACAUUGAAAAAAAAUAAUUAAAUAAAUAUAUAUAUAUCGGUUUGGUUCAGUUUGGUUCGGUUUUCGAACCUCAAAAACCGAAACCGAACUGGCCAGAUUCGAUUCAGUUCGGUUUGAAAGUUUCGGUUCGAUUUUUUUCGGCCUCAUUCGAUUUGGUUUUCGAUUUUUUUCGGUUUUCGGUUUUUUGAACCCACCCCUACACACGUGUAUGUGGUAAUUAUUUUUAUUUCAAGUAUAAAUUCUUUUCUUUGGGUUUCUUUAUUACACUAUGUUUAUAUAAGAACUCAUACUUUUGAUAUAUAAACUAGUCUCAACGUAAGAUCUUUUUCUACAAAAUUAUUACAAAACUAGCUAGUAUUAUUUCAUAUUUAAUUAGAGAUAUUUUUAGUUUGAAUUGGACAGCUAAGAUUAAGGUGGGAUUACAUGACUAGAAUUUAUAAGACAUAGGCCCAAAGUCUUCCAUAACCUUAGUUUCACGUAGGCCCAAUAAACUUUCUUAGCCAUCCACACCACGAUCCACUUGGCAAGCCCCUACAUGUGGCUUGGGCUCAUUUUAGCACAUAACGUGGUUGGCACAAUUUGUCUAUGAUGUGAACGUCAUAACAUGACUUUGGCAUGAUAAAUUUGCAUGGAUUUGCAUAAACUUGGCGUGAUUAUACAAACGUUCAAGUUAUAAGUUAAUAUUUUAUUAGCAUGACGUGAUCGUAAAUUUAGUUACGUACCCCUAAUUCAGUAUCUUCGCAUGGAUUUAGGCUCAGCUCGUGGCAAUUUUUUGGUACUCGAGCUUCGAAGUAUAAUUGUGCUUGCAUGUGAGAUUUUUGGCCCCAACACCUUUGCAAAAUAUUUUUCAUCAAACCCCUGAAAUGUCAACCUUGGUGGAAGUGGCAAAAUCACAUAGGACUGAUUCACACGUCUCAAAGGAACGCCGUUGAUUUUGAAUGGUCUGACAAUGGUUUCGAACACUGUUCUCAAGUUACAAAUACAUUGAAUGCACGUAAACAAGUUCAUUUCAAGGAGUAGGCAAACCUCACCACUACGAAAAGAAAAACAAAAAUAAUUUUGUUACUUCUAAGGUAUGAUUUUAGGGAGUUUUAACGAAAAGCCUGCGAUACUGUUCAUUUUAACGAAAAACCAUAUUUUUACACUAAAAAGUCAAACCUGAUACUAUUCAUUUUACCCUUUAUUUUGUCCUUAUUGUUAAAACUCAGUUUUUAAGCCAUUUUCAUUAGUUUUCCUAUGAUUUUAUAGGUUCCUAUGCAUGCUUUUUCAGGGCCCAUCCAGCACACAUAUUUUAUACACUGAGCCCAUUAUGCAUCUAAUAUUCAUUAGGUCUGCCCACUGUACAUCUGUUUUGAUUAACAAAAUUUUGAUUUUUUUUAACUUUUCUUUUUCUUUGAAUGUGAUACUCUUUAUGAAAUAAACGAUUUUUUUUUUUUUUUAUCUAUGAAAUAAAUGAUUGGGAUUUGGAUUCUUUGUUUAAUUACUUACACAAGUGUUACAACGUACAAUUAUUACUUUCCCCAUACCCAAAGGGGAAAAGAGACGAAGAGAAUCGUGAGUUUCCUAUUCCUAGUCAUACCAAAACAAGGAAAGUAAAUUCCCUGUGUAAAUCUAAAGAGGAAUAGAGAGAAGGGAUAAAUAAAAAGAUGAUAAACACAAAAUCUUUUAACAAUUUAUAUACACUUAUUUAAUUUGUAAUGUUAUUUUUAUUUAUUUAAUCUGAAGAUUAAAAUUAAAGAGAAACACACUCUUUCAACGUAUCACAAUCACAUACUCCUAUUUAAUUUAUUUAUUUUUUACUUAAUUGUUCAACUUGAAAACUGAAAAAAAAAAAUGUGCGGGAGGCCUCCAAAAACUAAGAAUAAAAGCAUGUGGGUUACCCUUUAUUUGUUUUUAUUCUGAUGCAUAUUCGAUAAAUUUUAUGUAGUAAAUUCAAGUAUAUAUUAUGUAAACAUUAUUAGCGAGUGCUUUACAUUGUAGCGUGUAUUAGUUACAAAUAAGAUUUAUUUUAAUUUUUUCCCCGUCAUGUCUUGGUUAUAGAACUUACUAGCAACGGUGCAUGCGCGAUGCCGCGGGUUUUUAAAUAGCAUACAAUAUGUAGAAAGUUAUAUUUGCAAUUUUGCUUAACUCAAUCUUUUACAACUUUGCCUAACUCAAGAAAUAGAUAAAAGUUUGUUUCUUACCGAAAUAUACGAAUUUGAAUUUUAGCAGUGACACACAUAGAAAAAACUUAACAGUUCUAUGAAUUGUAUACAGAGAAAUAGGUCACAACAUUUAGGGUUCAAGUUUUGAACAAAGAAUUAGUUUAUCAGCAAGGAUUGGAUACACACUACUAGAAAAUUUGACUUUACCGACAAAAGUAGUUUGUUGGCAAAAGUCAAAAUUUGUAGGCAAAGUGUCUUUCCCGAGGAAAAAAUUUGUCGGCAAUUUUGUCACGAAAAGCAUGUCGCCUAAGAGUUUUGCCGACGAAUUUUGGUAUUUCAUCGGCUAAGAUUCAACUUUUCCCAUCAAAAUCUUAUUUGUCGGCAUUUCCAUCUUUUCCGACAAAUAAUUCAUCGGUAUAGGCCUUUUAGCCGACGAAUAAUACUUUUUAGCCUACAAAAUGUGUUUGUCGCCAUGAAUAUUUCGUCGGCACAACCUUCUCUCUACCGACAAAUUGGUUUUGUCAGGAAGACAUUUAAUUUAUAAAAAAAAAUGCUUUGAUGCUCAGCUCUUACAUAUGCAUAUCAAAAUACAAUAGACAAUUGUUAAGAAACAAUAUUUUACUGAUUGAUAAAUGUUGAAUGUACAUCUAGAGUGUAAUACAAAAGUAUCGUUAGUGAAAUCAUAAAACAAUUGAAGGAAUGUUACACAUGAACCAAAUAAAAAAUAUCAAAAGUCAUGGACUAAACUGUUCAUACAAAAGCUCCCCUUAUCCUGGUCUCUCGUCCAUCUCUGCAGUAGGAUUGGCUAAUGGCUCCUCAGGCGACCCAAACUCUCAUGUAACUCAAACUUGAACUCCCUGCAUCGACUAGCCAUGAUUCUGUUGAGGUAGUCAUAGUUUUCGUAAACGGUUAGAUUGAAAUAAUGAUUAGAAGCUCUCAAAUGUGCUAAAUAUCAUUCCUCUAGAUAGAUAUAAUGAUAGAGAUCGUAAAAAAUAUACUGGAAGCUUCUCAGAGUCUAACUUCUAAAAUUAGAGUCUUUAUUUCCACAACACAAGAAAAUGAGCAUUCCUAGCUUUAGAUCAAAUUACCUUCAAAAGUUCAAUAACCCCACAUAUGCAAACUCAAACAUUUAAAAAGAUUAUAUUACGAGUGCAAUUAUAUAUUUCUCGUUUAAUGCUAAUAUCAGAAAUGUGAGCAUUUGUCAUCAUGCAAGAGGUGGCUUACUGAAGAGCAUCAAUUGCAACCUUAAACCUUGGACGAUAUAGCACCAUAGUAGAAAAUGGGGCAGAGCUGCAAUAACACCACAGUAGUACAAUAAAAAAUGAAAACUUAACAUCAUAUUAGUAUCAAGCAUAUAGUGAGUUUGAUUAAGCAUCGGACAUUUAUCAUACAUAGAUUCUUAGAGGCCAGGACAAUGGUUCAUCCAACCUUGUAAUGAACAUUUCAAACCACCUGCCAAUUAAGAGGUUUUCUUUAGUCCCUUAAUAAGAUGCAAAUCAAAAUGAAUGAAAGGAGGUACAAUAAGUCACAAAAUAAUAAUUAGUAGCAGUUCAAAUCUUGGAUUAAUUAGCAGCCCUCAAGUACGGAGAGGUUUUCCUUUAGCCUCUUAUGUAAUAGCUGACUAAAGCACUCAGUUAUUUUCAUCCAAUCGAGGUAUAUCAAACAUCUGAUUAAACCACAAACUACAGAGCUUUAUUAGAGUUUACACAAACAUGAAAAAUCUAACAAAGAGGAUUAGUUCAAUAAAACAUGUAGUGUCAAUGUAACAUAAUUAAGAUUAAGAGAUGACUGAUGCCAUACAAAAACUGUUUUCAGCAUAAGAACUCCAUGUACAAGUCUCGCAUUUUCUGUGUUGACAUUGAAUCCAAGUCCAAUUGCACUUCAGGACAAGAUCCUAAAAUGCAACAUACAAUAAAUUUAAACAACUGCACUGUUCAUAACCAAAUGAUACUAGCAUAGUAAUAUUUACAUGGUCACCUGCUGAAUGUGAAGCAAGGUGCCAAAAAGACUUGCUUCUUGGACAACUUGGGAAGGUUUCUUUGCUCUAACUCACUUCAGAAAACACACAUAUCACCAAAUGAAAAGUACCGUUAACAUCACAGUUAACAAACCCGAGCAAAUAAAAAAUAUGAAGCCAUUUUCUAACCUUGUUUGACAACCUAUUCAAUUCCCUUCAACAUGUACUUUUGAAAAAUUACAAGAACCAAGCAUUGACCCUGCACCAUAAAAAUCUUUCAAACAUACCCAAAUUAAACCAUUACAAGAACCAAACACAAAACAAGAAAUCAUUCAAGGCACCUCCAAAAUGUAAUGGAUUGGAAAUCAAUAUCAAACCAAUAUCACACAAAAUGGCAUCUAGUUAAUUAAAAAUUAUAUUAAAUAAAAAGAAAAUAACUAAACCGCUAUACCUUUGGCGCGUUGCGGGUUUGUGAUUGGGAAUUGAAUAGACGGGCCGAAGGAGAGUGAGCCGGAGCAGAUCGAGGCUAAAGGAGUGGGCUGCGAGAGAAACAAUUCGGUAUUUGUGGAGAUUUGGGGUUUUCGUGUUUAACCAGAUGAUCGGGAUGAGAAACCAAUCUAGAGCCUAGAGGGUGAUGACUGCAAGGUAAUUUCAGAGUUGGAGUAGGAGGUGGCAUCGAAGACUUUGUAGAAUAGGAGCGCAGAUUCGAGUCCACGAACGGAAGACGACAGACCGAGAGAGACGAGGCAGAAACGAGGGAGAAGCCCGGCACUAAUUUUUUAAUUAAUUAGGUUUAGGAAUUUGAAGAUUACCAAUUUUAAUUCUAACCGGCAAUUGUUCAAAAAAAAUUCUAAACGGCAAUUGUUCAAAAAAAAUUCUAAACGGCAACUGUACAGAAAUGUAAAUAUUGUUUUCAAUGCAUUAUUAUAAUGAGAAACAUAACAGUUCUAUAAUUGUAAGGGAGGAAAUAUGAUGAAAGACAUACGAAGAUUUGAUGGUCAUAUGUUGAGAAAAAUCCACAUUGCUGAUUGACGUAUUGCUUGUUCAAUAGAUCAACGCACGAAACUGCAACAAAAAUAAAAGAAUCAAUUUAUGAGCAGUUGGAAGAAUCAUUAUCCGUAAAAAAUUUGUUGAUUCAAAUAUAAACAAAUGAAACUGACUGUAAAAGAAAGGUAUACCGAAUGUUGCUCCAAACUAAGUUCAAAAUGAGUGUAGUUGUGGAAAUUCUGUGCAACACUCUGUUGAAGAGAUGUAAAAAGUAGAUCACACAAUAUUUACAUCACCGUAAACAAAGAUGUUGGAAGUGGUUUAUACAUAAAAUAUUAAAUUUGUACAAUCCAGAUACAAAGGAUUAAAACCUGUUUCCUUACAUAUAGACAAAAAAUAAUACAGUGAUUGAUUGGAUUCUACCACUUGCAUCUACCUCUCAAGUGGAACCAGCAUUUACAUACAAAAAACUAAUGAAUGCUGGUUUAUGUACAUGCAAAAAAUAUUAUGAAGUCCAGACCAGAGAGACAUUUACAUGGCAGGCAAAUAUUAGCAAUAUUGUUUGAUACAUAUUGACAAAUCUUUGCAGCUCAUGCCAAAAUUAAUGAAUGCUAGUUUAAGAAAUUCAUUUGGUAAUUGGUGAUGGUCCACCAAUUUCUGAUUCAGAACCAAAUCUUUGCAGCUCAUGCCAAAAAGUUUUUCACCACAUUUUUCAAUUAUCAAAGCAUUUAUCUCAUUGGUUUCAUCUUCGAGUAUCAGAUUCACCUUAUACCUACAUUUAAAAACCUAAUUUAAGAUCACAAUGAAAUAUUGAACAUUGAUCUAUUGGAUUCAUUCCGUUCUGCGGUCUAGAACGUUUGAGUAUAAGAACGAACUCUAAUGGGAAGCCUCAAGGCCUACAUCUAAGGCCCUACAAAGGCACCUAUUUGGGUUCAUUCUACCUCUCGGACUCGGGUAAUCAGAAGUAUAAUAGUUAUAAGACUCAUGCAAUCACGAGAACAAAUAUGAUGUGUUCGAGCACUGGUUUAGUUAUUGAUAGGAAGCCUCAAGGCCUACACCUAAGGCCCCACAAAGGCACCUGUCAUAACUAACACGGUUUCUCGGGUAUAUACAUAUAUACAACCAAAACUCGACAUCCAUUUCACAUCUGCCAUACUGAAGAUGGCAGUGGCACGCCUGAGCACCUAAAAGUUAACCUUGAUUGUGAGCCUCAAGGCCUACACCUAAGGCCCCACAAAGGCACCUCUCAAAGUUAACUCUGUCCUUCUCUUUCAGCCUUGCCCGACGAGACUUGCCCGACAAAGCCCGACAGUGAAGUAGAAGCCCGACAGCAGCCCUCAACCGGCGCCAACCUCCCGGGGAGCUGUGUGCUCGUCGGCCAGGAAACAUCCCCGACGGAAAUUCCUGACGCGAACACACAUUUUUCAAUUAUCAAAGCAUUUAUCUCAUUGGUUUCAUCUUCAAGUAUCAGAUUGACCUUAUACCUACAUUUAAAAACCUAAUUUAAGAUCACAAUGAAAUAUCCAAAACAAAAACAACCAUGAGAUAUUUAGGUGUUUAAAAAAAUAUCAAUAGUGAGAAUGAAAAAUUAUAUACCAUUGACAGAGCAAAAAAUUAAUUGAUUCUAAACUGAAAACUGCAAAGUAAAAAAAAAUGAACUCAUGGUAUAGACAGAAACAAAAUUGCAGCACAACAUGUUAAAUAUUACCAAGGUGUUGGAAUUUGGCUUGGGUGUUUUUGACAAAUUAGCUGCGCAGUUAUUGGGUCCUUAUGCAUUUGUUUUACACAGCUGGGGCAGACACUAUACCACCAAUCGUAACGUGUGUCAAAACGCUCCACAAAUGCUCUACAUAGAAAUGUCUCGUCUUGUAAUAUAUUUUGUCAUAUGUCUGUGAAACUGAGAACAAUCAUAUGCAUUCUUUUUAUUGAAGGUGUGAAAUCACAGUUGUAAAAUUUUAAGAGAACAUGAAAAGGCAUAAUCAAGUUUUAAACCUUGUACAAAUCUAGAUCCAAAAAAGCCAAUUCAUCACAGUUUGAUGUGAGUGAUGUAUAGAAGACGAGUGAGGACAAUAAGUAUAUAGUUGAUAACUUGAAAACUAUAUUGGUUCAGUCCAAGCACUAUUGGGAAUCCGUGAAUCAGAAACUUGGUUUUGGUCCAAGUAAAUACAAUACAUAAACAUAGAUACAAAAUAGUUUGGAGACAGUGGACUGAAUAUGGUUUGUGAAACCAUUUCAUAAAGGGUAUUAUCAACAACAUACUUAAAAUGAUAAGAUAAGAGAAAUUCAGCUUUUGUCCCAAACUUAUCGUUACUUAUAUAGAUAUCAGUUUUUGUUAAGUACAAUUCAUAUUUAAUUUUAAAUAAAAGUAUUUAAAAUAAUUUCUGACCGCACGAUGUACGAUGAAUGGACACGAUUUGAGGAUACCCGAGAGCCUCACAAAGAGGAUCCGGAGAUGAUCCUUAAUUAUAUAACUGUUAUCAAAUAAAUAAAGAAACAUAAUAUUUUUAAUUAAAUAUUAAAUGAUUAAGUACCUAAAACUCCCCAACCUUAUAGUGUCAUUUCAAAUUAGUUUCAACAUUUUAAACAUUCCAAACAAGUAUCCAACCUAUUGAAAUGUCACAUCUGUUAAGCCCCAGUUAAUAAUAACAUAGAUUCUAUUCAAAACGACCAAUUGGGUAUAUCAUGGUCAACAUUAAUAUUAGUUGGAUCAAAAUCUAAAUUUCAAACAUAGAUUAUAUAAAAUGGAAUCCCAUGAUCAAAUAAGUAUUGAUUGAAUAAAAAAUGAACUCAAAUUGAAAUUACAUUAGGAAGGCAAUCUCCUAACAAAGAAGAUGGUUAAGAAUUUAGUUACGGUUUCAAGGAGCUUGUUUAUGCUCAUGUGAUUUCCUCAUUCGCCGGUUCUCAACUCGUAAAGCUUUCAGCUCUUCUUUGUGAGCGGUGAAGAUGGUGGUGGCCACAUCAUGAUAGUCCAUACCAUUUCAGCAACCUCCAUGACCUUCUUCUCAAUGUUGGCGACUUGAGUUGUAGGUGGAAUUGGUGGUUUUGUGGUGGAAUUUGAGGUGAUGACAUGAAGGGGUGGUAAGCCCUAGCUAAUUUAAUAGAUUUUAAACUGGGGCUUAACAAAUAUGUCAUUUUCAAUAGGUUGAGUACUUGUUUGGAAUGUUUAAAAAGGUUGUGACCAAUUUAGAAUGACACUAAACGGUUGGGGGUUUUAAGUACUUAAUCCAAUAAUAAAUAACACCCUAUUAAUCUAUGGCUAAAUAAUUUCUAUGUUAACUAAUUAAUAUAUAAUCUUCAAAUUGUGUCUUAAAAAAUAGGGUCAACAGAGACAGUGGACUGAAUAUGGUUUGUGAAACCAUUUUAUAAAGGGUAUUAUCAACAACAUACUUAAAAUGAUAAGAUAAGAGAAAUUCAGCUUUUGUCCCAAACUUAUCAUUACUUAUAUAGAUAUAGAUAUAUGCAGAACAAUGGUUAUUUUAGAUUAACCUUGUAUUCAACUAGUAGAUGAACUGAUCCCUUUCAGUCUCACAUAACAAAGUAGUCCAUAUAGCUUGCAGUAAAGCUGGAAAAAGACUCACCAUCAUAUAGAAGCAACGCAUAGUCGGCGUUCGUCAUUUUUAAGAUUGGGAAAACUCAAACACAGCUAUUUCCUCCACACGACCACAUCGUUCCGAACCCUAACUAAAUCUUUGCAUGUCCAAAGUUGCCAAAUAAGAAAUCAUGUUUAUUUCAUGACGCAGACCCAUCUUUUUCGAUGACCUCCUUCUUCCUUUUAUCAUCCCUGCCCUCUCUCUCUGUUCUCGUUUCUUACUGGAGUUUGCAGCUCUUGAGGUCCCUAUUUAUACUUAUACAAUACUUGGUGAUUAAGCACCAGAUAAAUAUAUAUAAAGGGAUAGUCGGCAAUUGGAGAGGAGGAGCUGUCGACUUGAUAGAGAAGAACAAAUAAGGCAGAUACACCUAGCUAAUAGAUAAGGCUUGGGUUUUUCAUCAUCAUGCAGAGCACGAGCUUCAAGUGUUCAAGAAUCAAAUAGAUGGUGAAGGUGUCACUCAAAAGGAAAGAUGAAAACUGGUUUGCCACCUCCAAACUGGAGUGUUCUCCAAGUAGUCCUACUCAUUUAUCCUUUCAAAUUACAAGCACGCCCUUUCUUGCAUUUGGUCAUCACCUGUUGACCAAUAUGCCUAUAUAUAAUAAUUACAUACAUAUUAUACAUAUAUACAAGAAACCCAAUAACACAAUUAUAAAUAUAUUUCAGUAGAAAUAUACUUUCCAAAUCACAGUCUAUCCCCUUAAAUAAAUUUUGUCCUCAAAAUUUAGUUUAAGCACCUAAUCACUUGACAAGUCCGGAGUUUCUACCUUUGAUCGGACUCAAAUUUCCAAGUGUAUCCAUGGUUGUCAUGUAGAGUAAUGAUUCAUGUAACUCUCCAAGUCGGAGUUCAAAGUCUUAAGCUUAUAUUGAAUACACGUACUCAUAUUUAGAGUUCAAAGAAGGCACUUGUGUAUCCAUCGUCUUCACUUGCCUUAUCUGUCUCAUAGGUAGAUGUGGCAUCUUCUCUGGAAGUACUCUUCCUCCAUCCAGGGGUGGUAUCUUUAACUGGUGGAGAUGCACAAGGUAAUGUAUCAAUUUCACUUGAAGCUUACUUGUAGUUUCAGGUUUGGUCAAGCGCGAUACAAACCAUGUAGUAGGAGUCCCCCAAGUCGCCGAGCUAGGGGAUCUGCGAAAGAGGUGACAAACAAGGUAAGCAACCAGUCCCAGAUCAGAAGUUUGAUUUCGAGUUCCGACUGAUUGUUCUCAUUCUCCCUAUCUUGCAGGCAGCAUGAAGGAUAAAGAGAAGAAAAAUGAGAAGAGAUGAUAUGAGAUACUUUUGCUUUUGAAGAAGUAACUUUCCACAGGCUUAUUCUUGAACUGGGUUGGAGGGUUUUCUGGUUUCCUCCAGAGUAUAAGGCCGACUGAAGAAUUUGAGGGUCAAAACAAGUCCAUCAAAUCUAGAGUACGUUCGACCCUGCUGAUAUGGGAUACUUUUGCUUUUGACAAAGUAGUGGAUGUAUCGGCAUGUGUGCUGUUACACUUGUCUCCACAUGCUUCCUUGUAUCCUUCUCACUUGCCCUAUCUGUUCCUCAAGUAGAUGCGGUAUCUUCCCUGGAAACAUAAGAUGUUGAAGAUGAGUACUCGAGAGCAAUGCCAGGUAAGUAAUCAGGUAAGGGGUUCCAAGCAGUCAGUUCCUGACUGGAAGCUUGAUUCCAAGUGUUGACUGAUUGCUCUCUUUCUCCUUGUAUUGCAGGUAAGAACAAGGCCAAAGGAAAAGACAGGGAAAAAGCAUGAUAUGGGAUACUCUUGCUUUUAACCCUGAUGAUAUGAGAUAUUCUUGCUCCGGUAUAGCUUGUUUACAGAGGUAUUAUCGGGGGGAAAGAAAGCUAAAUAUUUCGAAAGGCUUCGUUGGGAGUGCCCUCUCAGAUAUGAGAAAGGGUUGAGCAUUUUUGCAGGUCUGCCUGUCCGUUGGGGAUGGAGGUCGACAUAUAUAGGAGUCUCCCUAACAACAAGUAGUAAUGUUAUUCCUUUACCCUGCUUGGUCAUAGCACGGUAGUGGGAGCUGCCAGCUUCACAUGUUUUAACUCUGUCAGAGCACUUUGAAAAAGUGGUCUGUGGUAUCUGGAAAGCUGAUGUUGCAUGUGAAGAUUACAGACAAGCAAUCCUGUUGGGGAUCUGGCUCUCGAGAUUCGGAGAACGAUGCCUCUUCGAUUUUUUAGAAAGCAAUCCUGCUGGGGGUCUGGCUCUCGAGAUUCGGAGAGCGGUGUCUCUUCGAUUUUUUAGAAAGUAAUCAUGUUGGGAGUCUGGCUCUCGAGAUUCGGAGGGCGGUGCCUCUUCGAUUUUGGAGCAAGCAAUCUUGUUGGGAGUGUUUUCUCGAAUGUGAGUAAAGGUUGGGCAUGUUUGCUAGUCUACCUUGCCACGGAGCACAGAGGUUGACACAUAGGGACUUUCCAAUUAUCCAGCAGUGGUAUUGUUCCUUUACCCUUGUGGGUAAUAAUAUGGUAGCUAGACCUUCAAAAUUUAUGUGUCUAAACUUUGUUAGUGCUGUUUCUUUGCUAUUCUUUUACCCUUCUUGGUCAAAGCGAUGUAGUGGGAGCUGCAAGCUUCACGUGUCUUAACUUUGUUAGAGAAUUUUGGCAAAGUUAUCUGUGGUACCCAUGAGCUAAUGUUGCGUGUGGAAAGUGGGUGAUUGAACAGUAAGAUUUAUGUGCUUUCUACUUCACCAGAAAUCUUCGACAGAAUGCCCGUAAUUUCUGCAAAGCUGAGUGUAUGUGUGACAGGUGCUGACAAGGCUGAAAAAGUAGGUGCCUCUUCGAUUUCUGAGAUCGGUCUUCGUGGUCUCUGAGCAGCCCAGCUUUUGAGAAAGCAAGCGCCUCUUCGAUUUCUGAGAUCGGUCUUCGUGGUCUCUGAGUAGCCCAGCUUUUGAGAAAGCAAGCGUCUCUUCGAUUUCUGAAAUCGACCUUCGUGGUGUUUGAGCAGCCUAGCUUUUGAGAAAGCAAACGCCUCUUCGAUUUCUGAAGCUCCGUCGAGUGCAGAUUUUAUAGAGGUUGGCAUUAAGUUCCAAAUCACACUUGAAUCUCCACCAGUAGAAGCUCUAUUUUUGCACUUCUAAGAUCUUGAUUUGUCCGACCUCUUCUCUCUUCAACACCUUUGAAAAUGUUUGGCCCCUCCGACCGUCGUUUUGACUUGAACCUUGUUGAAGAGGCAGCCACGCCUUAUCCAGACAACAUAUGGCGCACAUCCUUCGUCUCCCCUACUGGUCCUCUUACCGUUGGGGAUUCUGUGAUGAAGAAUGAUAUGACCGCUGCGGUGGUGGCCAAGAACCUUCUCACUCCCAAAGAUAACAGACUACUUUCCAAACGGUCUGAUGAGUUAGCUGUUAAGGAUUCUCUGGCUCUCAGUGUUCAGUGUGCAGGUUCUGUGUCUAAUAUGGCCCAACGCCUAUUUGCUCGAACCCGCCAAGUUGAAUCAUUGGCGGCUGAAGUGAUGAGUCUCAAACAGGAGAUUAGAGGGCUCAAGCAUGAGAAUAAACAGUUGCACCGGCUCGCACAUGACUAUGCUACAAACAUGAAGAGGAAGCUUGACCAGAUGAAGGAAUCUGAUGGUCAGGUUUUACUUGAUCAUCAGAGGUUUGUGGGUUUGUUCCAAAGGCAUUUAUUGCCUUCGUCUUCUGGGGCUGUACCGCGUAAUGAAGCUCCAAAUGAUCAACCUUUGAUGCCUCCUCCUUCUAGGGUUCUGUCCAGUACUGAGGCUCCGAAUGAUCCCCCUCCGGUGCCUUCUCUUUCUGGGGCUCUACCGACUGCUGAGACUUCUCCUAAGCAACAUUUGUGAAGGCUCCCUCUUGUUUGUUUAUUUUGACUCAUGUAUAUGUACAUAUUUGUAACUUAUCGGGGAUAUCAAUAAAUAAGCUUUGCUUCAUUUCAACGUAUUGUGUUAAAUACACCAAAGCCUUCUUCGCUAAGUUCUUUGAAUUUUUCUUUUGUUGAAGCUUUUGUGAGUGGAGCAUGUAGGUUGAGGUAGUGUUCCCUUAAUUUCCCGAGUGAGGAAAACUUCUCGGUUGGAGACUUGGAAAAUCCAAGUCACUGAGUGGGAUCGGCUAUAUGAAUCUUAGAACGCCAUUGUGCUCGGUCCUGUGUCAUGUCCUCCGUUAGAUCCAAGUACUCUAAGUCUUUUCUUAGAGUCUCUUCCAAAGUUUUCCUAGGUCUUCCUCUACCCAUUCGGCCCUGAACCUCUGUCCCAUAGUCGCAUCUUCUAAUCGGAGCGUCAGUAAGCCUUCUUUGCACAUGUCCAAACCACUGUAACCGAUUUUCUCUCAUCUUUCCUUCAAUUUCGGCUACUCCUACUUUACCCCGGAUAUCCUCAUUCCUAAUCUUAUCCUUUCUCGUGUGCCCACACAUCCAACGAAGCAUCCUCAUCUCCGCUACACCCAUUUUGUGUACGUGUUGAUGCUUCACCGCCCAACAUUCUGUGCCAUACAGCAUCGCCGGCCUUAUUGUCGUCCUAUAAAAUUUUCCCUUGAGCUUCAGUGGCAUACGGCGGUCACACAACACGCCGGAUGCACUCUUCCACUUCAUCCAUCCAGCUUGUAUUCUAUGGUUGAGAUCUCUAUCUAAUUCUCCGUUCUUUUGCAAGAUAGAUCCUAGGUAACGAAAACGGUCACUCUUUGGUAUUUCUUGAUCUCUGAUCCUCACCCCUAACUCAUUUUGGCCUCCAUUUGCACUGAACUUGCACUCCAUAUAUUCUGUCUUUGAUCGGCUUAGACGAAGACCUUUAGAUUCUAACACUUCUCUCCAAAGAUUAAGCUUUGCAUUUACCCCUUCCUGAGUUUCAUCUAUCAACACUAUAUCGUCUGCGAAAAGCAUACACCAAGGAAUAUCAUCUUGAAUAUGUCAUGUUAACUCAUCCAUUACCAACGCAAAAAGGUAAAGACUUAAGGAUGAGCCUUGAUGUAAUCCUACAGUUAUGGGAAAGCUUUCUGUUUGUCCUUCAUGAGUUCUUACGGCAGUCUUUGCUCCUUCAUACAUAUCCUUUAUAGCUUGGAUAUAUGCUACUCGUACUCCUUUCUUCUUUAAAAUCCUCCACAAAAUGUCUCUUGGGACCCUAUCAUACGCUUUUUCCAAAUCUAUAAAAACCAUGUGUAAAUCCUUUUUCCCAUCUCUAUAUCUUUCCAUCAAUCUUCGUAAGAGAUAGAUUGCCUCCAUGGUUGAGCGCCCUGGCAUGAACCUGAAUUGGUUGUCCGAAACCCAUGUCUCUUGCCUCAAUCUAUGAUUAAUGACUCUCUCCCAGAGCUUCAUUGUAUGACUCAUUAGCUUAAUACCCCUAUAGUUCAUGCAAUUUUGUACGUCGUCCUUGUUCUUGUAGAUAGGCACCAAAGUGCUCGUUCGCCACUCAUUUGGCAUCUUCUUCGUUUUCAAAAUCCUAUUGAAAAGGUCAGUGAGCCAUGUUAUACCUGUCUCUCCCAAAACUUUCCACACUUCGAUCAGUAUAUCGUCUGGGCCUACUGCUUUUCUAUGCUUCAUCUUCUUCAAAGCUACAACCACUUCUUCCUUCCGGAUUCGACAAUAAAAGGAGUAAUUUCUACACUCUUCUGAGUUACUCAACUCCCCUAAAGAAGCACUCCUUUCAUGUCCUUCAUUGAAAAGAUUAUGAAAAUAACCUCCCAUCUGUCUUUGACCGCGUUCUCUGUAGCAAAAACAUUUCCAUCAUCAUCCUUGAUGCACCUCACUUGGUUUAGGUCCCUUGUCUUCUUUUCCCUUGCUCUAGCUAGUUUAUAGAUAUCCAACUCUCCUUCUUUGAUAUCUAGUCGCUUAUACAUAUCGUCAUAAGCCGCUAACUUAGCUUCUCUCACAGCUUUCUUCGCCUCUUGCUUCGCUUUUCUAUACCUUUCACCAUUUUCAUCUGUCCUAUCAUUGUAUAAGGCUUUACAACAUUCCUUCUUAGCCUUCACCUUUGUUUGUACCUCCUCAUUCCACCACCAAGAUUCCUUUUGGUGUGGAGCAAAGCCCUUGGACUCUCCUAAUACCUCUUUUGCUACUUUUCGGAUACAACUAGCAUGGAAUCCCACCUUUGGCUAGCUUCCCCCUCUCUAUCCCACACACUUGAUGAUUACUUUCUCUUUGAAAAUGGCUUGUUUUUCUUCUUUUAGAUUCCACCAUCUAGUCCUUGGACAACAAAUUUGAAAUGCUUUCUCUGAAUAGAGAAGAUGGUCACAUCCACCUCCAUAUGUAAUCUAUCCGUUUUGAUUAUUUAGGUUUUCAUUUAUUCCGGAUUUCUAGCCCCUAAUUUAUUAAUCCUUCAACGUCUAUUUCUUUACUUUUGUAUAUAAAUAUAAGUCCCAAGUAUCAAUGGAAUAUAUAGAGUAUACUACAAGUUUAUAUAUAAUUUUUUAAAUUAAGUUUUGAAAGCAACAUAUCGAAAGGGUGCAAGUUUGAAGGUUCUUCCAUUGUGCAAAGAAGAACCUUAUCAAAAGAAGGUUCUGGACUGUUUUAUCCUGGGGACGACGUGGUGUUUAUGAACUGCUUGCACACUUUGGGCAGAGCCGUGAAAUGUCUUAAAGAGAGUGACGUAGUCCGCGACUCAUCCCAUGAAUCAUUCACCACUCAAAGCUUCUACAUUUUUUCGGGUAACUUCGUUCAUUUCUAUUUCAGUUUACAACAAUUUUAGUUAAAAAGCAUUACCAUUUUAGUUAAAUUUAAUCCCUAAUUGAUCUGACUAACCACCCAUAGGGGUGGGAAAUUUUGCCAUAAACCGAUUUACCGACCGAACCAUACCGGUCGGCUCAUAAUGGUAUGGUAUAGUUUUGGCAUUUUUUCAUAAUCGGUUGGCAUUUUACCGAACUAACAAUUAAUGGCAUGGCUUUGGUAAUUGAUUUUGUAUGCCGGCGGUAUGCCAUACCUACCAAUAUAUAUAUAUAUAUAUAUAUAUAUAUUUUUUUUUUUUUUUCUAUUUAGAUAUUUUAGGUAUUUUUUAUAUGUUUGACUCCUUAGUUUUAGGGUUUAAAAAAUAUAUGUAUAUAUAUAUGAUUCAUGCCAUAAUAAAUAUAGAAAAUAUUGUUAACAAAAUUGAUAGCAUGAUGAUUAUUGAUACUAUAUAUACACGUACAUAUAUAUGAUUUUGAAUGUAUAUGCGUUGCUUAUGUUUAGGAUGAUGGAGUCUAGCCAAUCAACCGUUAGUGCACAACAUGGAUUAACCCAAAAUGAACCACACAAAGCAACUGUCACAUCCCCGCCCGAGGCGGAUCACUUCCCGAGCUCGCUCCACCACCAUAGCACGAUAUUGUUCACUUUGGGCUUACUAUUCCCUCACGGUUUUGUUUCUGGGAACUCACGAGCAACAUUCCGACUUAUGUGCUAGCAAUGAUUGAUGAGAUAUGAUACAGUCGUACAGAUCACUAGAGGUGAUUUCGACUUAUGUGCUAGCAAUGAUUGAUGAGAUAUGAUUACAGUCGUACAGAUCACUAGAGGUGAUUCCGACUUAUGUGCUAGUAAUAAUUGAUGAGAUAUGAGUACAGUUGUACAUGUCACUAAAGGUGACUCUGACGUGCGUGCUAGUAUGAGUUAUUAAACACAUGAUUUUUCAUAUGCUAAUGAGAUGUUGUGUCGUGGUAUAUUUCUGGACUUACUGUUAGUAUACAUUUGAUUUCAUACUCAUACAUAGUAUCAUUUCUGUAAAUUAUACAUACUCUACGGCGAGAGAUUACUACCUUGAUAAUUGAAUUGAUUUUAGAAAUCCUUGUGUUGCUCACUCACACUUUCUAUUUUUGCUCCCCUCCAGAUUCUAGUAGCAAAGUUCGGUAUCGACGAGGAUUCAUGGUACUUCUUGGUUCGAGCGACUUCUUAUGAUGGUAUAAUUGUUACCUUACCUUGUUGUACUUUACUUAUGCUCUAUAUCACGUGUGAAUGGGUUCAUUUCCGCUCACAGUGCACUCUUGUAUUUUAGGCACCUUUAGGUUUAAAUUUAUUCACAUAUUCCACAUCACCACACUUUAUGGCUUCAUCACCUUCUAGGUGUCGGCCAGCACAACUCGACUCGAAGUCGAAGUGGACUAUCCGGGUCGGGGUGUGUCAGCAACCGAACAAGCAUCCCAAUCUGAAAAUCAAAUUGAGCCCUUGGAACUGGAAGAUAGUGAGGAAGAAGUGGAAACUACCGGUUGUGCCAUUUACCAACCGAACCAGCCAAUAAUUUUGGCUGAACCGAUUUUUGGCAACCGCAAGAAGACGAUUGGCUAGCGGUAAUUGAUUUUCGGUAAUUAUGUAUAUGUGGCUGGCAGGUGGCACAAGAAAUUUGGCACGGUUUGCCAACCGAACCCAGCCCUAACCACCCAAAAAGGAUUAUCAUACAAAAUGUCUGCAAAUAGAUCGAAUACUAAUAAUGAAAAUUAAUCCUUAAUGCUUCCAUCUGACUACAUGAUAGUAUUUUGUGGCUAAACAUAGUUUUUACGCGAUCAAAUAUUUACCAACUUACAUUGACAAAUUCAUUCUCCUUCAUUUGAACAUCAAAAGCCAAAUCACACAUGGAUCCCCAAACUUUAGCUUUACCAUUACUAAUCCUCUUGCUUGGGCAUUAAAAAAAAUCAUCAGCAAACAUGAAUCUUAUUAUAUACCAACUCAGGAUGUUAUCAUAAAAAUCAAUUGAUACGAAGAGUAGAGCUAUUAAAGACCUUCCAAAUUUUAUCAAGUGUUACAGAAGUAAUAUAUUUUGUAUGCAGAAAUUCAAAGCACGCAGAGAUCUCAAGUCAAAAACAGAGGUACCCAUCUUCUUUUGUUCGAUUUUUGCUUUGUUUUAUCUCUGUUUUCAUUUUUGGGUAGGAUUGUGCUUUAUAAUUGGGUUUAAUGUGAAAUUUUUGAAGCAGCUAAAUCUCAUUCAGUUCUGUUUGAUUGAUUGUUUAUCUAUGAUUUGUUCUGUUAUGCUUGGUGCUUGGUAUGUUUAAAUUGAAUUGGAUUUAUAUUUGAUUUCAAGUUGAUUAAUUUUUUUUUUUUUUGUUGUAAAUCAUAUUAGUUGCUGAUCAUGAAACAAUUUCAUGUUUGGUUUAAGAGAAUAGGCUUGAUUCAGUGAGAUUUGGAUUCAUGAGUUAUAGCCAUCUGAGGUAGGCAAGAGUGUUUGCAUUCCUUAGAAAAAAAUUGGGAGCUACAAAACUAUGCUUUAAAUUUGAGUUUUGUGAUUACUAUUUUUGAUCUUUAUCUACUCUAGCUAUACAAUUCUUCCAUGUUUUUCAGAUCAUGGAAUGAGUUUCUCAUGCUGAGAUUGUAACCCAAUCAAUAAGUAAGUGAAACACAGAAGUUCUAUAUCGCAUGUUAGUUGUGAUCAAUUUCUAAAAAUCCGAUGUAGUGGAUUGUUAUCUUAUUGGUUACGCAAAACGAUUAAGGUUUUAUGUUUUUUAGGAUCAUAAACAUACCAUAAGUAGGAAUAAUUACAUAGAACGUGAGGACAAUGGUGUGAAUAAAUAAUUUGUUUUGAAGAAGGAGAGUUAAUUAGUAGUUAAACACACCAAUGUUGUAAACCUACAGACUAGUCAAAUAGACCAAAAGAUGAUGUAGACGAUAUCGAAUAAGAAGAAGAUCAAGAUGGAAUCUCUAUAGAAGGCCCUACAACAGAACAAGAGCCAAAGAGGUCUGAAGGUAAAUAAAGUCAUCUAUAUGAUUCAAUUUUGUGUACUAAUAAAGAGUUAUUUCUAGUUCACAUUUUGGAAGAGGGUUGAAGCUAUAUAAACUAAAUUAGAGUUCAUGAAAAACAAUAAAGCGUGGGACUUAGUGGAACCAAAACAAGGUAUUGGGUCAAUAGGACGUAAGUGAGCGUUUAAGACUAAGAAGGAUUGAAGGGGCCAAAAACCUUGAGAUAUGUAUCUGUAUAUUAAGGAGGUUGAGUUUCGAUGACAAAAUUCUCUUUACAGGGAAAGAAUAUAUGUACUUUUCGGUUCUUGCUUAAUGUAUGAAUUGUUUUGGUUGAUUGUCUUGAAAGUUGAUUCUCUUUUACAGCAAACUGGGAUUUUAAACCAAGAAAUUUGGAGGUUUUAAAGAAGUAGGGCUUAGUAAUGCUUAAGGGAUUAUAGUAAGAGAAAAGGUGAGAAAGCUCAUUACUGUUAGCAAAUUAUGGCUAAAGUAGUUGUGCUAUUAGAAGUUGGACAAAAGAAAUUUUAGAGCCUUGAAGUAUUCAAGAGAUUUGAAAGAGUAGAGAUUAAGUAUAGGCCAUAUGCAAAAGAAAAUGUUGUGUUAUCUCAAGGGUCAAUAUAAAAACACAUACUAGUUUUCAAGAGGAAAGAAAAGUUGGAAACAAAUGGUUUAUUCAGAUUCCAAUUUUGGUAGAUUAUAUACUUCUAAAGUCAAUUUCUAGUUUUGCGUUUGUAUUAGAAUUGGAGGUGCAAUAUUAUAGACAAAUGUUAUGCAAUCAAUAGUUAUUUUUCUGUACUAUGUAUGUAUACUUAAUUCGUGGAUGUUGUGGAGCUCUAACGCAUGCAGGGUAGUUAAAGUUUUCUCCAUACCGGACGCCCUCAAUAUUUGCUAGAAAGAGGAAGAGUGAGGAAAUGAUAUACAAGUGUUGAUUAUAUUCACACUACAGAUAUGACUACAUAUAUAUUAAUAGAGUUAUUCCUCAGUUAGUUUCUUUAAAGCAUGUCACUAGAAUGGGAGAGUUAUCAAGCUUUAAAGAUGCCUAAAAUUAGUGGGAGCUAUUUUGCUUUUCAAUUAAAAAUUCAUGGAUAUGCAUUAAGGAUUGAUGUGUUUUAUUUCUAAAUACUUGUCAUUACAGCAAGCCAAUUUUGAAGAUUGUCUUUUCGACAUAAGGGCUUAUUUUAAGCAUUAAGGAAGAUCAUGUUGUGAUCGUAAAGAGGACCAUAUAUGUGUUUAGUGUGAUACUCACCCUUAAGCCUUAAGCACACUUAUCAUAUAUAUACGUUUGUCCACAACUUGUUGGUACUUUAUGUGAAUGUUGUUGCUUGUAUGUGAUUAUAGAGGUACACAUCCGCCAUAUUGGAUAUCGUAGUCUAUAGUCCUACGAGCUAAUGAUAUUUGACACUAAGUUUGAAUAGAUAUUGCUAUCAAAUAAUCUUCCAAAGUUGCGCGCAUCAAGAAAUUUAUUCAUGAUCCAAAGAGCUUCUUGAAUAGAUGUCACGUCCAAAGAGCUUCCUAAUUGUGAAACAAAUUCGGAGGUAAUUCUUCAUUCCAACUGACAAAGGAAAAAGAAAAUAAAGGAAAAGGCCAUUGCGAAGUGAAAUUCUCAUUCCUACACUAGUUGGUAACAUUAGUAAUAUUUCUCAUUCCUAUACAACUACGGGUUGUGUGAUGAGUUUUUUUUUUUAAUCAAACCUCGACUGUACGAGGGAUAUUUUAUUGAUAACGAAAAAAAGUUAUAUCUAGUCAGGGGUGGACAUAAACCUUACCCCUCAUAAUACCAAGAAAAGGAGAAAAAGAACAUGAAUAAGAAGGGGAGGACAUAAACCUUACCCUCUAGAGGGGGGGGACAUGAAACCUAACCCCUCUAAAGUCAAACCUAAAAGGUCUAAAACUUGCAAAACAAGUCAAACAAUAACACCACAAGGUUAGGAAAAAACAAGAAAUGAAGACAUACCUGCAUGGCGAGAUGCACAUUAGUUUGAGAAGUGGAAGCCAGGCAUGCCUACAUAGUCUGAAAACAAAGCAUCACGAGCGGGCGGGGGAGGGGAGUCAUGCCACACCAAAGUUGGAGAAAACAAGUCCAUGUUAGCAAAUUUAUUUGCAACAACAUUUCCUUCACGAUAUAUGUGAGAGGCGUAAAAGGCCAUAUUUCGAAUGUGGUCCAGACAAAUAGACAAUUGUGUACGAAGAGGCCAAGGAGGAUCAAAAUCGGUUGAUUGGAUAGCAGAAGAGUCACAUUCCAACCAAAGGCAAUGCUAACCCAGCUGAUAUGCAAACUUGACACAAUAAUAGUUGCUGAUAAUUUUGCAAAAAAUGAGUUGCAAUGACCAAUCCAUUGACAAAAACCACCAAGAAACUAACCAUGGCAAUCCCUAAAAACUCCUCCACAUAAAAUUAUAAAUGAAGUGUGAUGAGAAUAUAAGAAUCUAAUUAAGGUGAAUGGUGAGUUACAUUUUGGAUUUGUAUAACCAUCAAUGUUUCUAUGCUGAUUUCAUUAUUAUGUGAUUUUCAGUUAAAGACUAAUUUUGUUUUCCUAUCAUGUUCACUUAGAGGUGUUAUGCUAGAGUUGGAAGGCACUAUAGUGGUAGAAUUGCAAUCCGCUUGACAUGGAAAGGUAGUCUCCAUGCAACCACUCUAACCAAAUACUUUACUAAUGCUUUUCAACUAUUACAAUAAUAUUUGUGAUAUAUUUUUUUACGUCUUUUAGAUUUGUUUACCUUACGAAUGCAACGAUUAAGGUGUUACAAAUUUCGAGGACGAAAUUUAUUUGAAGGAGGGUAAAUUGUAAUACCCCGUAUUAAAAAAAAUAUAUAUGUAUAUGUGUGUGUGUGUGUGUGUGUGUGUCUAAGUAAUUAUUUUUAUUUCAAAUGUAAUAACUGUAUUGGAUUUCUUUAUAUACGUUAUGAGUACAAAAAAAACCCUCGUAUUUUUGGCAUGUAAGUUAGUAGGAAUUCUUUCACUACAAGAUUAAAUUAAAGCGUGGCUAGUACUUUUAAGGCCCCGCGUGACGAGUUUUGCCCGACUAUGCUUUUCUGACGAACCUAUGUCGGGUAAAGUUUCCAGCGAUGAGUCCUCCUUUUAGCCAACAAAGAUUUUCCCUCUGGCAAAGUGGUUUUUUUAUUUUUUAUUUUUUAUGUGUGUGUGUGUAGUGUGUACUGGAGAUAUGCAUGUAGCUGCUUGAAUUUAGUUGAUUGUUGUUAUCAUUCAUUAUUGUGUUUACACCUCUUGAGAAAAAUAAUUUAUGCAGGAUUUUUGCCCAAACGAUGUCUGAAUUUGCAUCACAUGUCAAGAGACAUGCUAGUUUGAUCAAAAUAGGGACUAGUAGUGGGGCCCACUUCACAUCGAACAUCACCGAUCGGAACCGUUUAUUUUUCAAGUUGCAUUUUAUAGAUUGUCCUUGCAAAAUAUUAGCCAAAUCGAAGAUGUUCGAGGCAUCUAGUUGAGUUCAAAGAAAUUGAAGAACACUAUGUUCCUUUUACACUAUUGGUACCUUCUACAACUCCAUAAAAAUCUGUUUGAAGCUACAAUAAAAAGAGAAAUUAUUGUUCGGCUUAACGAUUCACUGCCUUCGUCAGAACCCAAGAAUCACUUGUAAGCUACGGUUUGUAUUUUAAUUGUUUUAAUCAACACAACAGUUUGUACGGUUUGUGUUGUUGUCUUAAUCAUAAGCUAUAUGGUGUGGAAAAUGUGUGUAGCUCUCAUAAUCAACACACUAGUUGAUACUUGUGUAGCUUGUUGCUACAGUUGGUAUGUUUAGGUUAGAUAGUUUUCAUUGUUUUAGCAAGAAUAGAUUAUUUUGCAAUGCACACACUGUGUUUGUUGAAAGCCUAUGUGGUAAAUUUGCAUUUGGUGGUUUUGUUUUUUAUUAAGGUACGGCCAAUUAGGUUCAAUCGAUUCGGUACAGUCAGUUAGGUACGUAGGAUGUGAAGCACAGAUGGAAACAUUGUAAGUAGAAUAGGAUGUGAUGUGAAGGUGGGGGAUGAAAUCUCAUUGCAAAAUAAUGUAAUGUGCAUCGUAGCUAGGUAGGGAUUGAGGAUAUGGCCUAAAAUAUUUGCUGGCUGUGAAGUGCCAUCAUUUUUUUUAAUUUUUAUAUGGUCAUUUAGGUCUGGUCGAUUCGGUAUGAUCAGUUAGGUACGUUACUUAGGAUAGGUUCAAUCAUUUCGGUACAGUCAAUAAGGUACGGAAAACUUAUGUUUGAUUCCAAACAACACCUGAUGACUUAUAUUUGAUUCUGAACAACACCAGAUUAACCAUUGCUGCAAUUGAAAAGCUUAUAUAUGUUUGCUCAGUUCUCUGAGCUUGACAAUGAUUUUUACAACAAUGGGUUGCCUUCAAAUCCAACACCAAUCAACAAUCCUAGAUUGGAUUAAGGGUUCAAAAGCGUGGAAAUUGCCAGUCAAUAUCACAACAACUGUAGGUGUAGUUGACGAUGAGUAAUAAAACUAAAAUCACCAAAAAAAACAUAGUUCUAUCGAUUUCAGGUUCAGUAUAUAGAAAAGAAGCGUGAACAUCAUCAUCAGCAGAGAAGGAGGAAAAAACUUCAUUGCCUCCAAAGAUGGGGGAUGCCAUUGUAACCGAAAGAGGAGAGAUGUGAAGAAUCAAUACAUACAAAACAUUAAAACAUUGAUUUGUACCCAAGGGUAACUAGGGAAACUAAAACUACAAUAAUUCUAUAAAAAAUUUGAUUAAAUAUGACAUGGAAUACUAGAAUCUGACGUGGAGGACUAUUUUUAAUUUUUAAUCUUCCAUACGGUAUUACUGAAAAAAUAAACUUAUUUAGGGAUUAAAAUGAAUUCUAAAUAAGUAUAUACUGUUCUCUUGUUAAGACCAUUUAAUAUGUUAUCCUAUUAAAUCGUUAACAAGAAUAUUUAGACAUGACCAUACACCAUCUAUAUAUAAAACAAGAAUGUUCCAAGUGAUGAUUUGGAUCUUCCUCUUACACGUAAACGAGUACUUAAUUAAGUUUUAGAAUAAUUAAUACAUGUUACCAUCUCAAGCCAAAAAUCAAUAAGAAAUAACGGGUGCGAAGUAGCAAAGGUUUCUGAAUUUUACCCCAUGUUUAAUCUUCGUCCCUAAACUCUAUUAAUUUUUCUCAUCUUCCAACUUAACUAUGUUUUAUAUGAGUAGUCCUUUUCGUCAAAUUUAAAGGUAUAAUGGUAUUUUCAUACAACAACAAAAUCUAAAUUAUUUAAAAAGAGAAUAGCUUGGCUCCUUAAGGUUAAGGAGGAGUUCCUCCUCAAAAGACUUCGUGGCCUAUUCACAAAAUUUCAUGCUUAUGAUCGGAACCGUUCAUAUUAUAGAUCACUAUGUAAAGAUCAUCUCUGCAAAAAAUAAAUUAAAACUAAAAUCGUUUAGUCAAUCCUUAAGGAGUUUUGAUCAGAAGCUCGAAGUUCUGUAAAUAGAUCACAAGUUAUUUUAAUGAGAAGUUCCUCCUCAAUCCUUGAGAAGCCAAGUCUUGUCUUUCUCUCUCUUUUUGUUUUUGUUUUUUUUUUUUUAACAAACAAUACUAUCUACAUUAAGGGAGAGUAAGCCUCACAAUGGACUAGCAAUAAUGUGGCUCAAAUUCGCCUUUUGUGAGAAUCGAACCUAAGACCUCUCAUUUACAAGUGAAGAUAAAUACCACUUAGACUGUAGUACUAAGUGACAAGUCUUUCCCUUUAAAAACUUCAUUUUUUUUUUUGGAUGAAACUCCUUUUUUUUUAUAAUGAAAUUCCUAUUUUAUCUCUUAACUUAAUGGAAAAGUUGACAGAGUUAACGAAAAAGACUACGCAUGUGACCCUUUAACACAGUGGUGGAAAAGAGUUGAGCCCUUGCAUGAUGAAGUGGGUUCGAACUCCGUUGGUGGCUAAUCUAAUAUCUAAUCUAAUAAAAAUCUAUUGUUUGACAAGAAAAAAAAAACGAAAAUGACUACUAGUGCAUCAAAUGACAUAAUUGGAGGACGAGGGAAACUAUUAGCAGAGUUCAGGGACGGAAACUAAACAUGUGAUAUAGCUCAAUGACCAUUGCUACAAUUUAGUCAGUAACAAUUAUUAUAUUUUUUUAAGAAGAAACAACUUGUUUAGGGAUAACUAUAAGGGAAAUUUUAUUUGAACCCAUAUUUUGUAUCUCAACACCCAUCUUACUUUCUAUACCCACAUUGUAUUUGAUUUAUCUAUCAUUAUCUCUUUACACCCAACAUUAUUUUCGAAACCGCCCUUACUUAUCAAAACUCAACUCAAUCAAACUUUGUUUUACACCCAACUCAAUCUACUUAAAAAUAAAAAAUAAAACCCUAACUAGUCCAUCAUCUCCAUGGAGCAAAGUCCCUUCUCUCUCUAAAAAAUCCUUCCAUCUCCUAUAAGUGUCAUUCUGCACCCCAUCUACUCUUGCGUAGUCAUCCAAACCUCUUCCUCUUGCUUUUCUUAAUCAUUUGACAUCUCUAAAUUUCUAGAGCACUAAUUAGCUUAAUAAUUGGUAUGUGUUCAAUCGAUUGGUUCAAUUUUUACGUAUUAAUUCCUUUUUCUUUUCAAUUAAAUGAGCUUCUGGUUAGAGUGUUUAAUGAGUUGGUAUGUUUUACUUAAUUGAGAAUCUUCUAGACUCUAUAUUCCUAUCUAUGGUAGAUAAAUGGGUACGUCCAUGAUAACUUUUGGUAGAUCAAUGAAUAUUUUUAACCGUGGAUAUAUAUAUAUAUAUUUUGUCGAAACCGUGAAUAUUUAUUAGAUACAAAAGUUGCGGACAACAAUUCACAUUACAUUGAACUGUGGCUAAAAAGUAUAUCGCCUUUGCACGUUUUAAGGGCGAACUCAUAGCUAAGCAGUUUUUAUUAAGGAGCAAAACUUCGGGAAUUGAUCUAACCUGGGUGUGUAAUUGAGUUUAUGCAUUUUGAUGAUUAAACUGAUAAAUAUUUCAACCACAUAUGGAUUUAAUAUCAUAGUAUCUUUUAGCUUCUAUAUGCCACAAAAGUUGCGGACAAAAAUUCACAAUACAUAGAAUUGUGGUAAAAAAGUAUAUCGCCUUUGCACGUUUUUUAGGUGAACUCAUAGGUAAGCAGUUUUUAUUGUUGACCAAAACUUCGGGAAUUAAUCUAACUUGAAUGUAUAAUUGAGCUUAUGAAUUUUAAUGAUUAAAUUCAUAAAUAUCUCGACCACAUAUUGUGAUAGCCCGUCCCGAACUAUUAUCAAUUAUGGCAUGAAAAGACUAUUUUACCCUUGGUCGUUAAUUUUGUUGUGUGGUGGUGUGGUUUAAGUUUAAGUUUUAGGACUUAAGUCUUUAUUUGUUGUGGUUGGUAGCCCAAAUUAGGACCACACACACACACACCCAAAGCAACCCCGUUGACCCUUCUCUCUCUCCUCUCUCGGUUUUCUUCCUUCGUCCGUACGAUUUGUACGGUCAACUCCAAACCAACUUAUUUCUUCACAGAUCGAGCUCAUAGUUAGCACUAUCAUCUUCAUCUCAUCGUCACGAGUCCAUCCAUACCUGUUUCAGAACUUGAAACCGUCGAAAACCCAAGACCCAAAAGACCCAAUCUUGAGCAUUGUUCAUGCACACGUAAAUGUGGUGUUUUUAGAAGAUUUUAAGGUUAUAGGAAGCUUUAAAACACUCUCACGAAGCUCGGAGAAGAAAGUUGAGGGUUUUUGGACGUCGGGAAGCUCGAGUUGUAGAGUUGGCCGGUUUUCUUAAAUUUCUCCGGCGAGAUCCCGUUGGUUUUAGGUUCCAAAAGAGGUAAGAAUGUGUUCUACUCAUCAUAAGCUUCAUUUUGGUAUAAAUUUCAUGAAUUUUGGUUGAGAAAUGGAAGAGAUAUGAAGAUUUGAAAAUUUUCCAGUUUCCGGCGAGUUGUAGAAGGCGGUCUCCGACGAGGUCCAUCGGAGAAGAAGGGAGAAUAUUCCGUCAAAGUUGACGGAAUAUUCCUAACGGCGACUGACGGCGUCAGGUUAGUUUUAACGGAAUAUGCUAUUAUUUUGACUGAAUAUUCCUUAACGGCAAUUAGGAUUCCAUCAGGGUUGGCCGAGCGUGGGGGCGCGUAGGGCCGUGCCCUUGCCAGCGCGUGGGGCAUCAAAAAAAAUUUCUAAAAAUAUUGGGAUGUUCCUGAGGUUGAGUAGAUCACGGUGGUAUAUUCAUAUACCCAAUUUGAGCAAUAUAUGAGAAGUUAUUACUUAGUUUUGUGUAUGUGCUUUAAAUGACGAUUAUAUAGUUGUUUCGCAUAUAAGUGAGACCUAUCCAGAGGACGAGCAUAAUCAAUCAAGGCUCGAGGGCUACGACCCUUCGACCUACCAAUGAGUGGGCUUUUGGUUUUCAGUAUAUAUAUAUAUAUAUAUAUAUACACACUUGAUGUUUUUCCCAGAAAACGUAUUAAAAUGAAAUGUGUUUGAAAUGUCAUGUCAUACUUUCAUUGUACUUUAGUAUAUGCAUUAGUAUAAAUAUGCAUAAUGUUGCAUGAUGCUGCGGAGGCCCAGGUAAGCCACAGGUGAGUACAUUAUGAUGUUAGUGAUUGUGAAUGGAAUGAUGAUGUUGAGAUAUAUUUGAGUUCAUAAACCUGCACCCCAGUGUUAGUGCUCCCGCCAUGGUUAGGGCACAUUCCUUCACCACUAUAGGUGGUUCCGACUCGUAGGUGACCCGCGAUUUAUCGCACAGUCUUCACGUGAUCGUAGCACUAGAGCGUAUUUAUUUACACCCAGUCCUGUCGUACAGACCACUAGAGGUGGUUCCGACUCGUGUGCAGGUAUACUUGUUGAGAUACAUGAUUAAGUUAUAGAUUGAGCCGUACAGGUCACAUGAGGUGACUCCAACUAGAUAGAUGAGCUCUAGAUUUCGCCGUACAGGUCACGUGAGGUGACUCCGGCUAGAUUGGUUAUUUGCAUUAGUAUUCACACCUGGCUUACUUAUGUUAUAUUGUGAUUUUGGACAUGGCAUAUCCAUAGCAUGCACAUAAGUGGAUUUUGAUAUACUGAGCAUGGUUUUUGAGAUACGUAUGUAUUCUAUUUUCUGGGAAAUUAUACAGGUUUUACGGCGAGGGGUUAGAACUUUUGAGAAUGAAAUGAUUUUGAAAAGCUUUGUUUUUGCCCACUCACGCUUUCUGUUUUUCGUCCCUCCAGGUUCUAGGUAGGAAAUCCUCGUUGGUGGCAUUGCGAGGGUUUCAAGAUAGUUCUGACAGACUACCAAAUGUAGGAUCACCUUCGGGUGUUGUUUAAUUAGUACUUUAUCCUACUUGACUGCAAUUAGGCUACUUAUGCUCUCGUUGUGUAUUUCACACUUAAUAUCGCUCUAGUACUGCUAGUAACUUGGUUUAAUUAUUCCUAAUUCUCUAUAUCAUUAUUGCUUCCGCACGGUGCACAUGGUUACGUCACCCUCACGUGACGGCCAUCAUGCCUAGAUUUCGGUCGGGGUGUAUCACAUAUGAAGUUAAUAUUGUAGUAUCUUUUAGCCUCUAUAUUGGUAUCUGUGGCAAAAAAAUGGGUAUCUCCAUGAGAAAAUUUUGUAGAUCGAUGAAUAUUUUCAAUUUGAAUAUUUAUUAGAUACCAAAAAUUAUAAGUCUAUUCGCAAAAGUGUAAGUCAAUGCCAAGUACAAUAUUUGUUAAGAUAUAUUUAGGGAACUGUUAGUAGCACUCCAAAAAUCUUAUUCUACACUUUGCACAAGUGUAUUUUUCUUUCUAAUUAUAGAAAGUUUGGAGUGCCAAAUGAGAUUUUUGGAGUGCUAAUAACAAUUUUCUAUAUUUAUAUACAUUUUAUUUUAGUUUGGAAGUCGACUUCCUUUUUUUUUUUCCUUUAUCAAGUUGGGAGUAUCAAUGACUGUGACCAUGUGCAACUAGUUGUUGAUUCGUUUUGAAUAAUCAACAUUAUUUCUUACAAUGUCUUGGGCUUAUAAAUAACAGAAGGAAAACCGUCAUGCAUGAAACAUACACAUUUGUCCCUUCAUGCGACAUGGUUAUAAGCAAACAUCAUGCAUUUACUAAUACUAUUCCAAGUCAUGCAUGAAACCUAUACAUUGUCCCUUCAUGCCACUUGGCUAUAAGCAAACAUCAUGCACAAGUAGUUUACUAAUUAGUAUUACUAAUAUUAGCUUGUAUCAUGACCGUUUUCUUUUUGUUAUUCAUAUGCCCAAGACAUUGUAAGAAAUAAUGUUGAUUAUUCAAGACAAAUCAACAACUAGUUGCACAGGGUCAUAGUCAGUGAUACUCCCAACUUGAUAAAGAAAGAAAAAAAAAAGGAAGUCGACUUCCAAACUAAAAUAAAAUGUAUAUAAAUAUAGAAAAUUGUUAUUAGCACUCCAAAAAUCUCAUUUGGCACUCCAAACUUUCUAUAAUUAGAAAGGAAAAUGCACUUGUGCGGAGUGUAGAAUGAGAUUUUUGGAAUGCUAAUAACAGUUCCCUAAAUAUGUCUUAACAAAUAUUGUAUGUGGCAUUGACUUAGACUUUCGUGAAUUGACUUAUAAUUUCUGGUAUCUAAUAAAUAUCCAGAUUGAAAAUAUUCAUAGAUCUACAAAAUUUUCUCAUGGAGGUACCCAUUUUUUUGCCACAGAUACCAAUAUAAAGGCUAAAAGACAAUACGAUAUUAAAUUCAUAUGUGGUCGAGAUAUUUAUGAAUUUAAUCAUUAAAAUGCAUAAGCUCAAUUAUACAUUCAAGUUAGAUCAAUUCCCGAAGUUUUGGUCAACAAUAAAACUACUUACCUAUGAGUUCAUCUAUAAAACGUGCAAAGGCGAUAAACUUUUUAACCACAGUUCUAUGUACUGUGAAUUUUUGCCCGCAACUUUUGUGGCAUAUAGAGACUAAAAGAUAGUACGAUAUUAAAUCCAUAUAUGGUCGAAAUAUGUAUCAGUUCAAUCAUUAAAAUGCAUAAACACAAUUACACAUUCAGGUUAGAUCAAUUCCCGAAGUUUUGCUCCACAAUAAAAACUGCUUAGCUAUGAGUUCGCCUAUAAAACGUGCAAACGUGAUAUACUUUUUAGCCACAGUUCAAUGUAAUGUGAAUUGUUGUUCGCAACUUUUGUAUCUAAUAAAUAUCCACGGUUAAAAAUAUUCAUUGAUCUACCAAAAGUUAUCAUGGACAUACCCAUUUUUCUACCACAUAUAGGAAUAUAGAGGCUGGAAGAUUCUCAUUUAAUUGAAACAUACCAAACUCAUACCAAACUCAUCUAAUUAGUGCUCUAGAAAUUUAGAGAUGUCAAAUGAUGAAGAAAAGGAAGAGGAAGAGAUUUGGAUGACUACGGAGGAGUAGAUGGGGGUGCAGAAUGACAACCAUGGGAGAUGGAAGGAUUUUUUUUAAAGAGAGAGAGAAGGGGAUUUGUUCCAUGGAGAUGAUGAACUAGUUAGCGUUUUAUUUUUUAUUUUUAAGUAGAUUGAGUUGGGUGUAAAAAGAAGUUUGAUUGAGUUGAGUUUUGAUAAGUAAGGGCGGUUUCGAAAAUAAUGUUGGGUGUAAAUAGAUAAUCAUAGAUAAAUCAAAUACAAUGUGGAUAUAAAAAGUAAGCUGGGUGUUGAGAUACAAAAUAUGGGUUCAAAUAAAAUUUCCCUAACUAUAAUGGGGCGCCAGGUUUAAUUCACAUGUUUUAUUUCCCUAAAAGCAGAUCACAAAAAGCACUCUAAUUAAAAAUUUCACAUGAAUUGCCACUUAGUACUACGGUUUAGUAGUAUUUUUCUUCACUUGUAAGUGAGAGGUCUUAGGUUCGAUUCUCGCCAAAGGCAAAUUCGAACCAUAUUAUUGCUAGCCCAUUAUGAGGCUUAGCCCACUCCCCCACCCCCUUAGUGUAGAUAAUAUCGUUAGUUAAAAAAAAUCACAUGAAUUAAAAUUAAAUCCCCAUUGACACCAAUUUCAUGAAAUUGGAUUAAAAAGACCAACACGGAAGACAUUAAAACAAUGAAUUAAAAUUUAAAAUUAAGGAUCCCCCCACUCACAAGUUUUUUAGUUAGUACUCUUUAUCACUAAUGUGACAUUAAUUUUCACUCUACAAGUAUCGUAAUCAAAAUUAUUCACUCACUUAUCAUCUUUCAAUAAAAAAGUUCAAAUGAUUUGGAGACUGUUUAGUUUGUCAUGAAUCAAAGAUAUGAGAGUUCAUCAUGGUGAUGCUACUUAUUAGCGUAAUCGUUGAUUUGUUUGACUAGGAUAACUAAAUAGUCUCUAAAUCAAAUAAAUAUUUCCAGAGAUGAUCUUUUGAUGAUCAUAAAGAAAAUGAAUAGCUAUAAUAAUGACGUUGGUAAACUAAAAUGAUGUCACAUUUUGAAAUUAAUGAGGACUUUCUUCUUUACUAAGAAUGAGGGAAGUAAAUAUUAUCCUUUCUUUUGGUCGUAAGGGAAGUAUCCUUGAAACUAAGGAAUCAAAUUGGGAAAAUUAAGGACCAGAACUGAAAACAAACAAAAUAUAGUGAUAAAAAGUAGGAUCCAACAUCUUUUAUCGAAUAAUAAUAGUAGUUCACUAAUGACCAUAGGAACCACCAACGACCACUAUAUUAUUUUAUGACAUGAAUUUUCUAAAUUCACACGAUGGGGGAAGAAUAGAAUCAGUUGUUGCAAUUGUCUACAAUAUUAAAUAAGAACAACAAAAUAAAAUGAUGUAUUUGUUUAGCUUGGUUGGUUAGCCAGCCAGCAGGCUUAGUGCGCAUACAAAUUUCAAGUAUUUUUUAUUUAUCAACAAGUGUAAGGCUGAUAUCUCUAAUCUAAAACUCAAGAGUUAAAAAUUAUAAAGCUACAUUUAAUUUCACAUGCCGUGGUGUAAGUUAUAUUAUUUCCAAUGCAUACGGAGUUAUUCAAUGUUAAAAAUAUUCUCUUUUUCUCCCCGACCAUCUCUCUUAAAAUCAAAACCUAGAUCUACAAGUUUUAAGCUUAAUACUCGUUAUUUUGACACUUUUUCAAUAAAAUAUAUAUAAUUCACUUUUCCUAUACGUAUUUUUCACAUAUUAUCCAGGAAAUAAAAUACUAAAAUAAAAAAAUGACCGAAUUUGUAAAAGUUUAGCAAACUUGUCGAAUAAUACACAUAUGUAUGUUUCACGUACUAUACUCGUACCUUAUUUAUAUUUGUAUUUAAAACAAAAACGCCAAUAAUUAACUCAAUAUAUUGAAAGACCUAAUUCACAAACAUCGUUUUAUUUUCCACUAAUUUGUCUUGCUUUGUUAGUGCUUAAUAACGUACUUAUUCAUCAAAGCAAGCAAGGAAGUAAUCGCUUAAGUAACUUAGCAUAAAGAUUUGCUUUCGAAAAGCCCACAACCAGUAACAAAGUUGGAAUUUUCCCCCACCGCAAGUUGUGUAAACUCAUGUGUUGCAAAUUAACCUACUGCAUGGAAGAUUUACUCCAGCAAUUGACAAUUUUUCCCCCUCACGUACGUGAUUGAUUACUAUUUCUUAUAAUAAAUGCAAUGCAUGACCACAUAUUUUUGACAAUCUUCGUGCACAAUAAAAAAAAAAAUUCUUGACAUUUACUAUGGAGUGGUAGUAUUCCCAAAUGGCCAUUUGGUCAAGUAAAAUUCAAUCUUCAUUUGUUGGAAAAGGUUUAUUAGUUCAAAUCUCAUAGCCGAUAACAAUUCAAUAAAAACCAAUAGAAACCUGAAACUUAAGGCCAAAGGUUCAUUAAUAAGAUCAUAAAUGCAAAACUAAAUAUUUCAUAAAUUGGAGAUUUUUUUCGGUGUUACUCGAAACACUGCCGUAGUGUUACAAUUCGACUCAAACUAUAACAUGUGUAAUAAUAUACUUUAAAAGUGAGAUAUAUCAACCAUGCUGCCUUCACUUAUAACACGUGAAAAAGUACAAUGCACAGCAGUGUUUUACAUACAUAGGAAAGUUCUCCAAUGAGUCAAUAACAAUCACCCUAAUCUAUUACAACUUGAGCUAGAGUUGAUGUACACAAAUCUAACUAACUUUGAGUUUUUAGAAUUUAUUGUAAUGUUAAUCUUGAGCAUCUAAUUCAUUGAAGGCGGGACAAGAAAAUAAUUCAAAUUAAGUUAUGUCAUAUACAUUCUUAAUUAAGAGUACGAAGCCAAUGCAAAAGUUAAUCUAUAAUGUAAUGUCGUCCAGUUUCAAGCACACAGCUAUGGAAUCCUCAUUUGUCCCGACUUUGGUUCAAGAAGCCAAUAUACCUCUAAUUUAUAUUCAACUUAAUUCUCAAUGUGUAAUUUGAGUAAUUUCCUGGAUUAGGACGCGUGAUCCAACAAUAUCAAGGUUUCACUAAAAUUAAAAAAAAAAACGACUGCAAAUGAUUAGACUAUAUUAAUAUAUAACAUGUUGCAUUAUGCUACAUAUAUUAUUAAUUAUUCCACGCAGGCAACCGCAAAUAGAAGGCACCACUUGUAAAUUAGGAGAACAUAUAUAGCAUGAGUAUUGUGGAGCCAAAAAUAUUCACAAGGCGACACGUGGAUUUUUAGAUAAAAGAAGAUAAAAAUAUCCUUGAGGCAUACCGGGAUUCCUACGCACGAGCAGCGGGCAAUCAUCCGUUAACCAAGUCAAAAAUGCCCAAAGAAGGUAACAAAUAAAAGUUAUUUCAUCCAUAUACUCCACAAGGUAACCAUUCCAAAUAUUCCAUUUAAAUUAGAUUAAUUGGUGAGUUAAUGGAUUUAUUUCCUAAUUAAUCCAUUAAAUCACCAAUUAAAUGACCCAUUAUGCCAAUUAAUCCCCCAUUACAUAACCCAUUACCCAAAAAAUCCCAAAUGGCUGGCCACCCUAGUUGAUCUCAUCAUAUUCACCUAUUUUAUCGCAUUAGUUAGCUAGUUAAUUUGGCAAUAAUUUUAUUUGCUAAAUUAAUUAGUCAAUUAUUCCCAUAACUCCUAAAUUUAACCUAAAUCAAGAACCCUAUCCCUAUAAAUAGGCUCUCAUUCUCACCAAAAACCUAAUUCCAACACUUUGGCAAAAAUCCCAAAAUUCUCUAAACACUCUUUCUCUCUAAAUUCUAACUUUGGCAUCGGAGGUUCUUCAGCCAAAGCCCCCCCAUUCAUCAUGGGCGCGUGAGGCUCUUGGCCUUAACCUAAGGUGUUGAUUGUUUUGUAGGUGCAAAAUUGUCCAAGAUCAAGGAGGAAGAAAUUUGCAUCCACAGGUAUAUUGUUAUGAUGACGUUCUAAAAGGGUGAUUCUUAGCCAACAUAGUUUUCUGCUUUGUGAGGGUCGGGAAGAAAUGUCUAUUGUACGCAAUUUUACCCUUGCUUUGUAAAGAAAUUGUUUCCACGACUCAAACCCGUGACCUUUUGGUUACAAAUGAGCAACAUUUAUAUUGCACUAAAGCUCACCUCAUUCAAUAAAAUAAAAUUAUGUAGUUUUAACUCACAUAUCCUUUUUUUCAUAAGGAAAACUAAUGAAAAGAACUUGAAAACUUUGAAUUUUAACGAUAAGGACAAAAUAAAUGAUAAAGUGAAUAGUAUCAUGAUUGAUUUUUUAGUGUAAAAAUGUGAUUUUUCGUUAAAAUGAACCGUAUCGGGAGCUUUUCGUUAAAGUUCCCUUUUUCAUAAGCACAAGAUACCGUGAAAGUGUAUUCGUGGUAGUCGUUCUCAUGAAUUAGCCUUCUUUUAUUGGCAGCACCCUUUUUUGAUUAUUCCCUCUCUCAACUUUCGUCUCUCUUGUAGUUGAAACAUAGAUAUACAUAUGAAGAGAAACAUCUUCUCAAUCAACGCAGACCAAGUUCAUUUGCCCCCCCCCCCUCUCUCUCUCUCUCUCUCUCUCUCUCUCUAAACUGUUAUUUGCAUAAGGAAAAAUAUGGUAUACUAUCAGAGAUACAAGCAGAGGAAAAAAAGGUGAACAUCUUACAGAAGAAGAUGAAGAGUGUCAGAGCAUUAUUAUGGGGUCUUCAAACUCUGGUUACUACAAAAGAACAAGGCCCAAGCUUCUCUCUUUCGUCUUUCUCUCUCUCCUCUCUUGCAGCUUCAUAAUUAGCACCUCAUCUUUUCUACCCUAAUGCCACUUUCUCUCUAUUACGUAAGCUUUUAUCUCUAGUUUCUCAUUUUCAUUUUUUCAUUUUUCUUUCAGUUUCCUUUAAUUGUAUGCUGAGAUUAUAUAAUAACCCUAUGUAAACCCUAGCUUGUACCCAGAUUAUAUAGAACCCCAUGCAUAAACCCUAGCUUAUAUAGUACCCAGUUGGGUCUCUUCACCUAUAUGCACUUGAUUUUAGUUGGAUGUUCUAACUCUUUCAUGGUAUGAGAACCAAGCUAACCACGUAUCAAACCAUCAGUUUAUUAGAAUACAUGAAGUGUCCUUAUCCCCUCUCCCCGUCUUCAAGUACCCUUUUUCGAUACAUGGUAUAGUCAUUGAAAAUCAAAUGAUUUUCGGAUUAUUCAACUCCGUUUGUGUUGUCCACGUUAUUGGCUUGAAGAUCACCACACGUUAGGGAACGUGUUAAGAAUGAAUCUCACAUUAAUGAGAGAAUGUGAGCUUAUAAGUAAGUUGGGUUACUCCUCAUAUUGUCAAUUGAUUUUGUGAUGAAACCUCAAAUUGCUUCAACCCUUCGUCUUUCAAAACAUUCACAAUAUUUUUGAGUUAUCUCACAUAGUGAAAAGUAAGCCAUGCACAAUAAUAUAGAUAGACUCUAUAUCUAUUGCUGUUUGAUUUUAAGUUGAAUGCUCUAAUUUUUUUUUUCCACUAUAUUCACGAAUAAAUAUGUACCCUUUGGUUUUGUAGGCCUUGCUGCUGACGAUAUGGUUGCAUAUGCUCCCUCGAGUUCUUCAAUCUCUAACGGUAGAAUUCUCUGCUUCUCAGUGGCUUCUAUUUGGAAUCGAUUAAUUGUUUGUGUUUUAGUUGUUAAUAAAUACCUUGCAAAGUUUACCAGACAGUAUUACUAUCGAUUAAUUGGUUUGAAAAAAAUCGUUUGCAUCAGAAGGCUGGUUAUAAGGCUUAGAAGGUAAGAAAAUUAGAAAAUUGUUAGCAUAAACAAGUCUUGAACUGAUCAUGACUUGCGAGUAACUUUAAACUACACUCCACCUAUGAAGCAUAUACUCUAUAUAGUACUAGCAGACAACAAAUAAAUAGCUGAAAUUUCAGGAUGGGCACUAGCCUAUUCUGGCCUUCAUGUAGCUCCUCCCCCGGUUGCGAUGAUACUCGAAUUGAUACUGCAAAAACAAUAAAAUACGGAACUAUUAUUGUUAUUUAAAAAAUAUUAUUCUACAUUAAUUUUUUCUUGUAUAUUUUUUCCUUAUGUUUUCAUAGAUGACGAGUGCAAGACAAUAUUUUUUUACUGAUAACAACUCCUAGUAAAACAACGUAAAAAUAUAACAUAAAAACAAUAUUGAUAAUAUUCCUGAAAUUCAAAAUUAGUUUUUAAUCUGUUCUAGUCUUUUCAACAAGCAAGCUGGGUCUGCUAUCUCUCUUUCCUUAUGGAACUCAUACGGGGUGAGUGGUCAAUUCGAACCCAGACCCUACGUUCUAAUUAUUCUAAUUAAUUUAGUUAAUAUAUAGUUAAUUCAGCUCCAGUUGAACCGCCACAAUUUUAUAUCGUCCAUGGAUCAUCAGGUUGAAGUCAAAUGAAUGGAGCCUGCAAGUUAAGCAUGUAAGAUGUAAUCUGAAAAUCAACAAGUUACUAGGAUCACAAAUAUAACAAAUAUAACUACAAUAAACCAAUCAAACAAUUAAAGGGAAAUAAACUUAUCUUCCAAAGCGGAGGAAGAAGAAGCUAUGACUGCUAGGGUUUCAAGGAGGAACUAGGUUCAAGAAUACAGCAGGACACGUAAAGCAGCAAGCCGUGGCACUGCGUGUGCAAUCCGACUUCUCCAUCUUCUUCAACUGUCACAUGGAACCAUACCAAGACACCCCUCUACACACAACCUUCUCCUCUCUGCAAAACUCAAUGCUCUCCAAGUUAUAGGUAAUUGGAACGAUAAGAGCGCACAACCUUCUCCUCUCUGCAAAACUCAAUGCUCUCCAAGUUAUAGGUAAUUGGAACGAUAAGAGCGCCCUUUUGUGAGAGCAGGGGCUUGUGGUUUUUAUACUACAAAAUCUGGAUUACCCUAUAAUAAUCCUACAAGGAAUACAAGACCAAAUCCUUGUACAAGUAUGAGUUCUAUUCUCAAGCCAACAGUAGAGUUUCAAUCCAAACCAAAGUUGAAUUAACUCUUAUAAACACAUUAAGACCUCUUUAUACCAAUCUGAAAUAACAAUGAUUAUUACUAAACUGUGAGAAUCACACUCAUACUCUAACAAAGCAUGCUUGCUUGUUGAACCCCGCAACCACUUAAAAAUUUGUGAUAAAUAUGAUUUAUGUAUUCCUAAUUUUCUAAGUUUUGAUAGACCUAAAGCCAAAUCUAAUUUUUACGUCACUUAUUAUAACUGUAGUCUAAUGGUAUAUUUUUCUACUUGUUAUAAGUAGAAAGAUUUUAGGUUCGAUCCUAAACUAACACUAAAUUAUUAUAGAUGACCCAGUUGUAUGGCCUCACCCAAAUAUCCAAAGUUUUAGUGUAAAUAAUAUCAAUGUUUUAAAAGUUAAUUGAGUACACUUAUUUUCUGUAUGUGACACUUUUACAUUUUCUCUAUCUGCAAUUACUUUCACUAACUAUAAAUGUUGUGGGUGCAGGAACUAUAUUUUGUGACAGGAGCAGUUUUCGAUCAGAUGUUUGUAUCCUGAAAGGGGAUGUAAGAACACACUCCGGUUCCUCUUCCAUCUUUGUCUACAGAUCCAGAGAUAAAAGUAAUUUCACAAAUUAUUUAUCGAGUAUCGUCGAGGAAAACGAAGAGGAAAAUGAGGAACAGCUUCACCGCGAAAAGAUCAAACCGUAUACCCGGAAAUGGGAACCAAGUAUCAUGGACACCGUCACAGAAUAAGACCUCAUUGCAAAGACAGAUGGCACUCCAGGAAAGCAACAUGAGUGUGAUGUCCAACGUGAGGUUCCGGCCGUAUUCUUCUCGACGGCGGGCUAUACCGGUAAUGUUUAUCAUGAAUUCAACGAUGGUAUUAUGCCGCUGUACAGUACUUCUCAGCAUUUGAGGAAACAGGUUGUGUUUGUCAUCGUUAAUUUUCACAAUUGGUGGCUUAUGAAAUAUGGAGACAUUCUUUCACAACUAUCAGACUAUCCAGUAAUUGAUUUCAGUGCAGACAAGAGAACUCAUUGCUUUCCCGAAGCUACUGUCGGUCUGCAAAUUCACGAUGAGCUCACUGUGGAUUCUUCAAAUAUGGAAGGAAAUAAGAGCAUAUUCGACUUUCGAAAUCUUCUAGACGGGGCUUACAGUCCUCGAGUUACAAGUCUGAUUCACGAACGAGAAGCAAAAGAGAAACUCUCCGUUUCUAUGUCUCCCGCAUCGAAAAGAUCCUUAAAAAUCAAGAGAAAAGUACAUGAAGCACAUCAACUCAAGAGGCCUAGACUAGUGAUCAUAUCUAGAAAUGGAUCAAGAGCGAUAACCAAUGAGCAUUUGCUGGUGAAAAUGGCUGAAAAAUGGGGUUUGAAGUUGAAGUUCUGAGACCUAAUUCGAGGACCGAGUUGGCAAAGAUUUAUUGCGUUCUUAAUUCGAGUGAUGUCGUGAUCGGGGUUCACGGUGCUGCCAUUAGACCUGGCAUUUUGGACCCGACCCGACCCGACCCGUUAAUAUUAGUAUUUGGAUGGAUGCUUAACAGGUCGGGUCGCUAACGGGUGAACCCGUUAACAACCAGUUAAAUAACGGGUCACUUUGGGUCAACCCGGUAGCACCCGUUAGUUGAGGAUGCUUUAGUAAUUUUAGUAAAGUCUUAACAACAACAAAUAAACUUUAUGCAAAAAAAAAUAAUAAUAUUUGUUAACGGGUUGUUAACGGGUGUUAACGGGUGACCCGUUAGCUUAACGGGUCGAGUUCGGUUGACCCGUUAACUUAAUGGGUCGGGUUGAACCCAACUCAAACCCAAUAAACUCUACCCGUUUACAGGUCUAGCUGCCAUGACACAUUUGUAGAAACUCUAUGUUCUUGUAAGAGAGAGAGAGAAGAGAAGAGAGAGAGAGAGGUUUCUUAAGAAUUAAGAAAUCUAUGACUUUUCAUUAAUUGAACAAAUGAAUAAUACAAUUAAAUAUAUAUAGUCCUUGUGACUAUCUACAUUUGGCUAUCUAAACUAACCAAAUAAACCAACUAAUUACAUGAGUAACAAACUUAUAACAAACAACUUUAGCUAUGAUAUAGCAUCUUCAUCUUUACACCCCCUCAAGCUAAACUUGGAAGAAUCAAUAAGUCCAAGUGAGAGCUUGGAUUGCAGAAACUGAAACUUGUUUUUAGACAAGGCUUUGGUAUGAAUAUUUGCAAGUUGAUCCUGACUGCACACAUACUUAACUUCAACCAGAUUUGCAAGUACUAACUCACGAAUAUAAUGAUAAUCAAUCUCUACAUGCUUAGUGUGAGCAUGAAAUACAGGAUUAGAUGCAAGAGAUAUAGCAGAGAUAUUAUCACACCAGAGAGUAGGUUUGUGAGAUAGAGGAAAACCAAAGUCUUUGAGCACCUUGCAGAUCCAAGUAACCUCUGCAGCAGUGUGAGCUAAGGAUCUGUAUUCAGCUUCAGUAGAGGAACGUGCGACUGUUGAUUGUUUCUUGGCACUCCAGCUAACUAAGUUGGUGCCCAGGAAAACACAUGAACCACUAGUGGAUCGUCAGUCAUAAGAGCAACCAGCCCAAUCGGCAUCAGAGUAGGCUGACAGAUGCAGGGAGUUUUCUUAAACAAUAAACCAUGAGUGAUAGUCACUUUGAGAAACCUCAAUAUACGUUUGGCUACUUGCAUGUGAAGAACAGUAGGUGCAUGCAUAAAUUGACAGAUUUGGUUUACUGCAAAAGAAAUACCAGGUCUUAUCCAAGUUAAGUAUUGGAGAGCACCAACAAUCGAUCUGUAUUCAGUAGGAUUGGCAAGUAACUCCCCACUAUGAUCUAAUUUGGUAGAACUAAGAGGAGUGGAACAUGGUUUGCACCAGCCAUAUUUGUUUUCUGUAACAAAUCAAUCAAAUACUUGCUUUGAUGAAGAAGCGUAGCAUCUUCGGUGCGAUGAACUUCCAGACCAAGGAAGUAAUGCAAGGAGCCUAGAUCUUUGACAGGAAAUAAAGUGCUCAACUGUGCUAUGAACUGAUUGCAAAUAGUAGCAUCAGGACCACUAACUAGAAUAUCAUCAACGUAGACAAGCACAAUAACCAGAGUUGGAGCAUGAAGAACAAAUAAAGAAGCAUCAGAAGAUGAUUGACUAAAUCCAAGAGAUUAAAGAGCUUGAAAUAAUUUGUCAAACCAAGCUCUAGGAGCUUGUUUAAGUCCAUAGAGAGAUUUUUUGAGCUUACACACAUGAGUAGGUUUGCUGGGAUCUUGAAAACCAGAAGGUUGAACCAUAAACACAUCCUCUUUUAAGUCACCAUGCAGAAAGGCAUUGCUAAUGUCCAGUUGAUGGAGAAACCAAUUAAAUUGGAUAGCAAAAGAUAACAAAAGUCUGAUAGUAACUGGCUUUGCAACCGGACUAAAUGUUUCUGUAUAGUCAAGACCUUCCUGUUGGUGAAAUCCCUUAGCAACAAGUCUUGCUUUAUAUCUCUCAAUGGAUCCAUCAGGAUGCUUUUUAAUUCUAAAGACCCACUUGCAGCCAACUACAUUUUAAGAUGGUGAAGAAGGAACAAGUGUCCAAGUGUCAGUAGAUAAACGAGCAUUGAAUUCAUUUUGCAUUGCCAUUCUCCAAUUUUCAGACUUAGAAGCUUGAAGAUAAGUAUUUGGAAUGUAAUCAGUGGAGGAAGGGAGAGGAUGUUUGGUAGUAGUUAAUGCUUUGGGUUUAUGAAUCCAUUUUUGGAUCAAGUAACCAUGGAAUGAACAUUAGAAACAGAAGGAUGCACAGGUUGAUGGGGAGGGAUAGGUUAUUGUGGAGAGACAGGUUGAUGUGUAGGGACAGGUUGUUGUGUAGGUACAGGGUGAUGGGUAGACAUGAUAGGAGAAGAAGGCAUAGGUGGAAGAGAUAUAGAUGGUUGUGAAGAAGAUGAGAGGGAUGCUGAGAGAGGCACAGGUGUAGUGGGGUUAGAGAUAGGCAUUGAAAAAUGAAGAUUAAUAGAUGAAGGAGCACACUGAUCAAUAGAGGAUUGAACUGGAGUAACAUCCUUAAAAGGAAAAGUAACCUCAUCAAAUAUAACAUGCCUAGAAACAUAAAUCCGAUUGGUUUCCAAAUCCAAACACCUAUAACCUUUAUGUUGUAAACUGUAACCCAAGAAGACAUAUCUCUUACUUUUCCCAUCAAGCUUAGAAGAAAUGUAGGGCUUUAACCAUGGAUAACAACUACACCCAAAAACCUUAAGUUUGGAAUAAUCUGGAUACUUGUUAAACACCAACUCCCAUGGUGAUUUAGGAUUUCCUGAUAUAGGCAGCCUAUUUAUAAGAUAAAGGGCAGUAGUGAAAGCUUCAACCCAAUAGGAAUGAGGAACACUAGAUUCAACCAAUAAAGUCCAAGUUGUCUCAACAAGAUGCCUAUGUUUCCUCUCCACACAACCAUUUUGUUCUGGUGUGUGGGGACAACUAAGUUAUUGAACAAUACCAUGAGCAUGUAGAAAAGAUUUAAAUUGUAAACUGGUAAAUUCACCCCCAGAAUCUGAACGAAGAAUCUUGAUUUUAUUACCAACAGUAUUCUCAACAUAAGCUUUGAAGGUUACAAAAGUAGAAUACACCUCUGAUUUAGUCUUUAAAGGAAAACACCAAUUGUAUUUGCUAAAUUCAUCAACUAGGAGAAAAUAAUAUCGAAAACCACUCACUGAAGUUACAGGAGCUGGUCCCCAUAGAUCACAAUGUAAGAGCUCAAGAGGCUGAAAGGUGGUUGUAGUUGAUGAACUAAAGGGUAGUUUAUGAUUUUUAGCAAUAGCACACUUGGAGCAAAAGAAGUCAACAGAGGUUGUACCUUUAAUAGCAAGCUUAUUACUAGAGAUUAUUUUGCGAAAGAUAGAUGAGGAAGGGUGUCCUAGCCGACUGUGCCAUAGUUUGACUGAACCUUGAGCACUGACAAGAGCAUAAGUGCAUCCAGAAGAUUGAGCAGUGGAAGAACAGUUUUGCAUAGGGUAAAAGCCAUCUUUAACUGGACCCUACAAAAACGUCUUCCCCGUAGUACGAUCCUUUACAACAGAGCCAUCAGAAUCAAGUGUUAAGGCACAAUAGUUAUCUUUGAGAAAUUGGUAUGCAGAUAACAGAUUAUGCUUUAUUUGAGGGACAUGAAGCACAUUACGCAAAUGAAAUUGAGCAUUAGGAGAAUGCAAAGAAGAAGAGCCAAUAUGAUGUAUAGAGAGACUUUUACCAUCACCGACAUAAACCUUGUCCUCGCCAGUAUACGGUGUUGGUGAAGAGAUGUUGGCAAUAUCAUUAGUGAUGUGAGAUGUGGCGCCAGAAUCUAGUAGCCAAGAUGGAGAAGGUUUGGAGGAGUAGUGUGCACACAUGGCUGCAAGUUUUGCAGGAGGAAUCUUCCCAGAGAUGUCAGGAUUCAUGCGAUCGAAGCAAUCAAUAGCUUCAUGACUAGUAGAUCCACAAAUUUGACAAGAAACAUGAGUACUGCCGAAUGAAGAGUUGCGAACACCUUGGUGAUGACCACGAUUGGAAGAUUGACCUCUAUAAUUGCCUCUGUGUCCACGAUUGUUGUUGUACCGACCAUGAUUAUGAGAGUGAUUACCUCUAUAGAUGUUCCUUCCACGAUAAGAGUUGAAUCGAAAGGAUUGGUGAGGUUGAGCAACAUAUGCUUAAGGCGGUAGAGUUGGAAGAAGAGGCGGUUGAGACUGAACAGAGAACGCCUGAAAGGACUCAGUAGUGGAGGAAUAGAGCUUCUUGCGACGAGACAUUGAAAGCUCUUUGGUGAGAAGAAGACCAUGUAACUCAUCCAGAGACGUGGAAGAGAGACGUAACAUCACAGAAUCAAUGAAGGAUUCGAAUUCAUCAGGUAAGCCAGCAAGAGUAGCCGCAAUAAGAUCGCGAUCAGAAAUAAGUGCACCAGCAGCAGAAAGAGAAUCAGAGAUUUCUUUGAGUUGUUGAAGAUAAUCCGUCAUAGAUUGAGUACCUUUUUGAAUUACUUGAAGGCGAGAUCAUAGUUGAUGGAUGUGAGCAUCGGAGACGCCACCAAACCGUUGUUCAAGCUUGAUCCAAAGAUCGCGAGCAGAAGAGACACCAACAGUAAAAGGAAUAACAUCUUCCGAAAGUGUAGAAUUCAACCAAAUCAACAGAUUCUAAUCCUUUUCAUACUAGAUCUCAAAAGCUGGAUUAAUCGAUCGAUCGAGAAGGAAUGACGGUGGACACGGCUCAGUACCUUCAAUAAUUCCAAGAAGUUUGUAGCGCCUGAGAAUCGAUGCAAACAAAGCACGCCAUGGAAGAUAGUUAGAUCUCUUGAGCUUAAUUGGCACCAUGCUUCCAAUAUUCUGAAUUGUGAUAGAAGCAUACGAAUUGGACACGUUAGGGUUUGUAGAAGAAUUGGGGGCAGAAUGCUGGAGAGAUUCAUGAGAUGCAAAAUCGGACGGAGAUGCCAUGGUAAUCAAAAACAAGAAUUACAAGAAAAGAUCAGCGAGAAUCAGAGAAACAAAGCGGAAGAAAGGAUCGAAUUGGCCUUGAGGCAGAAGGUGAAAGAUACCAUAUAAAAACUAUGUGUUCUUGUAAGAGAGAGAGAGAGAGAAGAGAAGAGAAGAGAGAAAGAGAGAGAGGUUUCUUAAGAAUUAAGAAAUCUGUGACUUUUCAUUAAUUGAACAAAUGAAUAAUACAAUUACAUAUAUAUAGUCCUUGUGACUAUUUACAUUUGGCUAUCUAAACUAACCAAAUAAACCAAACUAAUUACAUGAGUAACAAACAUAUAACAAACAACUUUAGCUAUGAUAUAGCAUCUUCAUCUUUAACAUUUUCUGUUCAUGAGACCUGGCUCUGUGUUGAUCCAAGUUAUUCCUCUUGGAACUAGUUGGGCAGCAGAGGAAUACUAUGGGAAACCUGCAAGAAAGCUUGGGUUAAACUACGUCGGCUACAAAAUUCUUACCACAGAAAACUCGUUACACAACAAGUAUGGUAAAGAUGAUCAUGUUCUUAAAAAUCCAGCUAGUGUAACAAAAAAAAGAUGGGAAUACACAAAGGAGAUUUACCUUGAAGGUCAAACUGUGAGACUACACCUCACAAGAUUUAAGAAGCAGCUGCUUCGUGCUUAUAACUGCGCCAUUGGAAGAACGACUCGGCAUUUCGAACAACAAUAAACUAGUCAUUCUGGAAGUUGUAGAUUCAUACAUGCUUGAUAAAAAUUUGUGAACAUGUAUAUAACGUCGAGAUUUAGCUUAGUAGUAUGUACACCUCAUCAAUUAGGCUAGCUUACUUAUUAAGUUUUGGCAGCUACUAUAAAUAUAAUUCAUCAAUUCUCAAUAUAAUGAAAAAGUCAACUUCUUCUUCAAGCUGUUUUUUCUCUAUGUUCCAUAUUUUCUGAGUUCUCCAUUUUCACGAGUUCUACAUUUUCCUGAUUUCUGUAAUCUUCGAUUUCCAUGAUUCUUCCAUAGCUAUCAUGGUAUCAGAGCUUAGGUUCGGUGAAUCUAAGAGAAGGAUCCUGGAUUGGCUCAUCAAGCGAUGGAAGUAGUCGUUGCGUAGAGAUUUGUAGCUGUUUUUGGUUCGCGAUUUUUCGUCGGAGAUCUAUCUUCGUUGAAUCAGGUUCUGAAUUUCGUUCUUCGGUGUAUCUGUGUGAUCAAUUCUGCGUGAAAUUUCUGGAGUUCUUAGUUUGUUUUCUGGAUAUGUUGAUUGUAGAAGAUUGCGAUGAUGAACUUUUAGGGCAUGAAGCCUGAAAUUUUUUUUUAGGGCACGAAGCUCGUUGUUAUGUUCAAUGCGUGUGAAGAUUAAUGUCUGUGUGGUGAAUUCCGAAGAAAUUUGUAUGCAUAUUCUAGAUUGUUGAUAUAUAAGCUUCUGUGGAGUAUUUUUCUGGUCAUUUUGGCACGAAGCCAGCUGAAAUUGUUUCUUUGAGUACAAAACUCUUUGAGGAAUUGAAUUCAUUUGUUCAUUUGUGAUUCGGUCAGUUGGUGAUUUGACAAAUCUUGGUGCAUAAUCUUGGUGUAUUGAUAUAAUCUUGGUGUAUUGGUGAUCUGGUGAUGAAUGCUAUAAAGAUGGACAGUCUACUGGGCAUGUUAACUAUCCGAUUACAAGAUGACAAUUUUGUGAAGUGGUCCUUUCAAUUUACAGAAGAAUCUAACCACAUUGACUUUUUCUGGAUCUACAAUGUAUUGUCAGGGUGAAUCUUCUAAUACUACUCACAAUUCUCCAGAGUCUUCUCAAUAUUUCAAUGGUGGUUUUGGCUUUGUUAGCGGCAGCAACACUAACUCUCAGGCUCGUGGAUCAAGACCAACUGGAGGAUUUGUGUCACAAGCCAAUUUGCCUCAGUUUCAAGGGAAUGGAACUUUUCAGCAUCAAAGGAAUUAUCAUAACAAUGGUGCUAACAAUGGCAGGUUCAAUAACAGACCAAGGUUUAAUAAUGGAUCUUCUGGAAGAUUUUCUGAGAAUUCUAAUUACUUCUCUGGUAGCUCCAGUAAUAAUGGAGGAUCUAAUUUUGGGGCUAAGGGAGGAUCUACUUGGCAGAAUUGGAAUGGUAAUAAUGGAUCAAAGAGCGCUUUGAUUCCUGAAUGCCAAAUUUGCAACAAAAGAGGCCACACUGCCCCAAAUUGUUACUCUUGAUAUGAUACAAGUUCCAGCACUGUUUCUCAAGUUCCCGAGUGUCAAAUAUGUGGGAAGAAAAGGCACACUGCUCUUAAUUGCUAUCACAGGGGGAAUUAUGCAUAUCAAGGAACACCACCACCUCCUUCUAUCUCUGCUCUUACGACACAAGCUCAAUCAAAUUUUGAUGGUUCUUCACAACAAAAUUAGGUGCUAGACAUAUGGGCUACACAUCAUAUGACCGCUGAUUUGGACAAUUUGACUUUGGUGGCUCCUUUUGAAAGAAAUGAGAGGAUUACAGUGGGCAAUGGCGAAGGGCUUCCUAAUGUCAACACUGGUUUGGGUUCCAUCUUCACUCCUUUUAAAGCUUUAACUUUACACAUGGUUCUACAUGUUCCAAAAUUGGCUGCUAGUCUAUUGUCUGUUUAUAGACUCUGUAAAGAUAACAACUAUUAUGUUAUUUUUUAUGAGUUUGGUUUUUGGGUGCAGGACAAGGCAACAAAGAAAGUUCUCUUGAGAGGAAUGAGUAGUUGUAGUGGCUUGUAUUACAUUCCUCAACAACAAUUCUUCAAGUAUUUUCAGCUCCUAGAUACUACACCACAGGCUGUCUUGGGUCAACUUGUGAAGUCUUCUAUAUGGCAUCAUAGACUUGGUCAUCCAACAAAUGAAGUGCAGUAAAAAAUGCUUAAGGAAUCUUCUAUUUCUGUGUCUAUAGACAAUAAUCCUCAGAUGUGUUCAGUUUGUAUAAAGGGUAAAAUGUCUAGACAACCAUUUCCUUUAAGUACUAAUAAGUCUCGUAUUCCAUUUGAAAAAGUGCAUACCAAUGUAUGGGGACCUUCACCCACUAUAUCCGUUGAAGGUUACAGAUAUUAUGUCAUUUUUUUAGAUGAAUGCACAAGGUUUACUUGGCUUUUCCCUCUUGUGAAUAAGUCUGAUGUGUAUGCAGUAUUUGUUAAAUUUCAUGCUCUCGUUGUGAAUCAUUUUAAGACUACAAUAAAGUUUUUACAAUCAGAUGGAGGAUGAGAGUUUAUGAGUGGAUUGUUUAAGAAAUUUUUGGAGUUACAUGGCAUUUUACAUCUUGUUUCAUGUCCAUAUACACCCCGGAAAAAUGGGUUAACAGAGAGGAAGAAUAGACAUAUUAUUGAAACUGCUAUAACUUUAUUUGGUGCUGCAUUCUUACCUCAAUCAGUCUCCAUCUUUUGUCAAGUUGUUUGGACAGUCUCCAUCUUUAACAACUCUCAAGGUCUUUGGUACAGCCGUAUACCCUUAUUUAAGACCUUAUAGUGACAAUAAGUUGCAGGCAAGGAGUGAUGAAUGUGUCUUUCUGGGAUAUUCAUUGAUUGGGCUAUAAAGGAGUAUUGUGUUAUAACAGGAAUACAAAGAGGUUGUUGAUGUCUAGACAUGUAAUCCAUGAUGAAAGUGUAUUCCCUUUUCAAUCAGUUUGCCUUCCAAACAUGAGUUCUUCUCUUAUUCAUGCAUCUUCCCAGAAAUUAUCAUCUAUGAUUGUACUUGUUGUGUUACCAAGAUCUUCAAAUGUGUCUGAGGAACAGUUUCAAGAUACUAAUUAGAGUAGUCAGACUAUGCAAGCAAUAAGUCCCUCUGAUAGCUCGAGUCAAGAAUCAACACAAGCCACUACUCAAGUCACUACUCUAGAUCCUACUUCAUCUCACUUGUUGCCUGUCCAUGCUAGUUCCCAAACUAAGGUACCACACUCUUUUACUGAAUCAUUACCACUGCAUGAUAUAUAUGCUGAGCAGUCUAUUGACGUUGAAACAUCUAAUCCCUUAGAGGUUGAUCAUGACAUAUUACCUCCUGUUAUUCCUAGUACUUCUAUACAUGGUAUGAUUACUAGGUUAAAGAGUGGUGCAAUACAAAGAAAAGAUUAUGCAGCCUAUCAUGUUCCUGUGACAAAUGAAGACUUGUGUCCUAAAUCACAUAAUGAUGAUAUAAUGUUCAGUGGCUUUACUGUUGUUCUAGAUAUACAUGAUUCUUCUGAGCUUGUUGAUUAUAAACAAGCAGUAAUGUCUGAAUGUUGGAGAAAUGCAAUGACUGAAGAAUUUAAUGCUCUUCAAAAACAAGGGACUUCGGAGUUAGUACCAUAUCCGGAAGACAGAAAUGUAGUAGGCAGUAAGUGAGUUUAUAAGAUAAAGAAAGAUCAAGAAGGGAAGGUGUCUAGAUAUAAAGCUAGACUGGUUGCACAGGGGUAUAGUCAAGAACAAGGGUUGGAUUAUGAAGAAACUUUUAGUCCAGUUGUUAGGCAUACCACAGUAAGACUUGUUUUAUCACUUGCAGUAACUUACAAAUGGGAAUUGAGACAAUUAGAUGUUAAAAAUGCAUUUUUGCAUGGAGAAUUGCAAGAAUAGGUUUUUAUGAAACAACCUCAAGGUUUUCAAGAUCCCAGAUAUCCCAAUCAUGUUUGAAAACUUCUUAAGUCUUUGUAUGGUCUGAAACAGGUUCCAAGAGCCUGGAAUGCAAAAUUCACAAGUUAUCUUCCAGCCUUACAAUUUCAAUCUUCUCAUUCAGAUCCAAGUUUAUUUGUCAAAGUCAAUGGGAGUGAUGUGGUGAUUCUUCUACUAUAUGUAGAUGACAUUAUACUUACUGGUUCAUGUUCCCAGCUAGUGCAGCAUGUGAUUGAUGAUUGGUCCUCUGUGUUUGAUAUGAAAGAUAUGGGGACACUCACUUAUUUCCUUGGGCUGCAAGUUAGUUACAAAGACAAUGGAGAUAUUUUUAUUAAUCAGUCAAAGUAUGUGACUGAUCUUCUCAAUAAGGCAGGAAUGUUGUCUUGUAGAUCGUGUUCUACUCGUAGUAAACCUCAUAUACAGUUGUUGAAUGAUGAAAGAGUACCAUUGGCAGAUCCUACAAUGUACAGAAGUUUGGUUGGAGCUUUGCAAUAUCUAACCUUUACUAGGCCAGACAUUGCAUAUGUUGUCAACUAUGCAUGUCAGUUCAUGAACACACCCACUGAGUUUCAUUUUUGUUUGGUAAAACGAAUAUUGAGAUAUUUGAAAGGUACAAUACAGUGUGGAAUCACAUACUCUGCUACUAAGAAAUUAGAAUUGUUUGCAUUUAGUGAUGCUGACUGGGCAGCUGAUAUAAACACUCGAAGGUCCACCACUGGCUAUGUUGUCUUUUUGGGGUCGAAUCCAGUUUCAUGGCAAUCAAAAAAGCAAGGAAGUGUGUCUAGAAGUUCAACCAAGGCUGAGUAUAAAGCAUUGGCUAAUGUUGUAGCUAAUGUUGCUUGGAUAAGAUUGGUUCUUAAAGAUCUUCACUUAUUUCUUUCUUCACCACAUGUCUUGCAUUGUGAUAAUCUGUCCACUCUAGCUUUGUGUUCUAAUCCAGUCUUUCAUACUCGGAUUAAACACUUAGACACAGAUUUUCAUUUUCUUCGUGAAAGAGCGCAGAAAAGAGAUUUGGAGGUUCAAUAUAUUUCCACAGAAGCUCAGGUUGCAUAUGUUCUAACUAAAGGGUUACACAACCCUCUAUUUGUUCAUCAUUGUUCCAAUCUCAGACUGGGAUAUCCCAGCUGAGAUUGAGGGGAAGUAAUAACAGAAUGUAAACCUCUGCAAUUAAGUUAGCUUAGUAUGUACACCUCAGCAAUUAGGCUAGCUUACUUAUUAAGUUUUGACAGCUACUAUAAAUAUGUGUAUAACUGUUUGUAAUUCAUCAAUUCUCAAUAAAAUGAAAAAGUCAACUUCUUCAAGCUGUUUUUUCUCUUUGUUCCAUAUUUUUUGAGUUCUCCAUUUUCACGAGUUCUACAUUUUCCUGAUUUCUGUAAUCUUCGAUUUCCAUGAUUUUUCCAUAGUUAUCGUACAGCUACUAGUGGUUGUUUCUUUUGUCAUAAAAAUUUCUCCGAUGCUGGUUGUUUCUUUGGAUUAACGCCCUCAGUAUAUGAUCGACUAAAAUAUUUAUGUUCGUCCAUAUCCCCUGAACGAUCCACUCUCUAUCAGAUGACGACCUCCCAGGUCCUGAUGACCUAAAUAUCCACUGGAUUUUUAGGAUUAAAUUUAUUUUGAUCCACCUCCACUGUCACUGACGUCUUCAUAUCUUUCAGUCCUGCUUCGCCACACUGAUCGUAAACUGCUCUUUCCUGAGAUCACACAAGAACUGAAUUCGGGAAUACGUUUCAUUCUUUUAUUUUUCACGCAGCACACACGUUAAUGUACAAAAUCAGUGAAACUUUGGAACAACGUAAAAUAUGUUAAGUGCUUGGACAUUUGAAAAAGCAUAGACACUAUUCCAAAAACAAUUUAAUAUACUUCUGUUCUUAAGUCUUGGUUAUGAGAAUUGACAGAAUUGACAAAUAUCCUUUUCUCCCUUCUAAUUAUUAAGGCGCAUUUGGAUAAGGGUGAACUUGGAUUUGGAGUUGGGUUUGGUAUUUUGACUAUGUGAGCAACAUUUCCAAGAUUGACAUUGACAGAAUGUAAGUGAAUAGACUUGCUCAACAUAAGAAGGCGCAGCUAGUAUUGGAUAAUGUGAGCACGUUGAUUUUUUGAAGAUUUAGAAAUGUGGGUUGUUCUAGAAGAUGGGGAAGACGAACCUGUCAACCUAAAUUUUUCAUUUUUUGGAGGAAAAAAAACUGAAAUCAAACCAAAACCGAACCAAAAAAAAAAACCAAACCGAGAAAAAAUUGAAAAAAAUUGAUUCGGUUCAGUUUCGAUUUUGGUGAAAAACCGAACCGUUGAGAACCGAACCCAGCCCUACUCUCCCUUAUCUCUCCAUUUCGAGCUCACCUCUCUCUCAGGCUCUUUCCCGAUCGACACCCAUACAUACAAAAGCACACACAUACACACCCAAGGAGACUUCGACAACGGCACUACCCUCCGAUCCCACUCUCUCCUUCUCACCACGGUGCAGACAUUCCCCGACGAGUUUUCAUCGUUUUUUAUGAAAGUAGGUCGAAACACCCUUCCAUCUUUCUCUCUAGUAGUCUAGAAGGAUUCAUGGUUGCUAAAAUAUGAUUUUGGUGAAGGUUUGGACAUGAAAACACGUCGGGGAGACUUCCCCAGAUUUCCGGGGAGGAACCUGUCACUUUCGAGGCAAUUUUCGGCCAAACCACUAUGAUUUGGCUAGCCUGCAAGGUAUAAAUCUCUUCGUCUAGCUGAGUACUACAACUUUCCUUUUUGUUUCACCCAAUUUCAUUGAGUAUUGAAGAAGUUAUACUCAUUUGAAUCUUACCCAGUUUUCGGCGACCUCCGUGGCUUUUAAGGGGUUUUCCGGCCAAACCACAGCGAGUUAAACGUCGUGCGAGGUACCAUUCUCUUCGUCUCUUUGAGAACUACGAUUUUCGUCUUGAAUCACUCAAUUUCGUGGAGUAUUGACAAAGUUAUAGAUGUUUAAAUUAGCCCAGUUUUCCGACGAAAAACCUCAAAUUCCAAUGUUCUUCUACGGUUAGCUCUGGCGUCUCCCUCUUGGCGAUAGGCCUUUCAGGCCACCUCAAAGACCAUAGGGCCUUAGGAAAUAGGUCUAAGCUUAAGAAUAGUUAAGAACUGAUAAUAAAAUUUGACGAGGCCAAAAACAUUUCGAGAUUCACAAUACUUUGUGAGAGCUAUUUCAAAGUUCAAAAAUUAAACAUAGAACCUCUGAAUCAAUAGAAUGAUGAAGAAGAAAGAUAUGAAGCAGCUUGCUUAUGCAUGAAGCGACAUGAUUGGCUACCUUAAAGUGAUGCCUUUGAGGAAACCAAAGCUUAAUGAGUCUAGAGAAGUUCAGAGCAAAGCUCGAUCUUUGUACAAUGAUGAAUAUGGUGGAAUCUCAAGCCAUUACACUGAAAAAUUACAAGGCUGAACAGUUAAUGGACAAGAACAUUGAUCAAUUGGGCUACAAGUUAUGGGCUAAGUUCACCUGUACCAAAAAGUAUGUGGACAAGGAGCUAGGAUUUACCACCACGUACCAGGCCCAGAUGAAGUUCAAGGAGUCUGUUUAUCCAAACAAGACUGGAUCUUCAUCAUCUAAGUCCAACUACAACAACAACAAGAAUCGCAACUCCUUUUGAAAAAUAAUGAGAAUAGAGUCUGCUACCAAGGAGUUCCCAAGAAAAGUAUAAUCUCUAGACAAAGUCAACGCUUGAAGGAUUUGGUGUAAAGCUGACGGUCAAAAGUUAAGGAACUUGACUUCGUUGUUGGGGUAAGCAAGAUGGUUAUCGAUAGAAUAAUCGUCAAGAAUUGUUCUAAAGAUCCACACGAAUUUCUUCAGUGGUAAUGAGUUUGAGAACAUUGAUUUGAUCCCACCAAUUACCACAUACUAACUUCGUCACAACUAGCGCUUACUCGCUUCCUCCAACACUCACUUUGAAAGUUUCAAGAAGUUGUCAUUAAGAUAUGACUCUACCUGGUAUUCCUAGGGAACGCAUGUUGCAGAGUGAUAUCACCGUUUCAUAUUUCUAAUUGGUCUUAACCAACACACACCACUAAGAUUUUUCCAUUUCCCAAGAUUUCGAUGUAGAGCCGACUCCGCCCGCAAUUCCUAGGGAACGCAUGUUGCAGAGUGGCAUCACCAUUUCGGAUCUACAGUUGGUCUUGACCAGACUUCCUCAAACAAAGAUUUCUAAACACGUCGCUUCCAAGUAACACCAAAUCUGCCCGCCAUUCCCAGGGAAUGCACGCCGCAGAGUAUUGAUCCGAUGUUGAAAGUCGUCCAACAAAUCAAACACGUCACCGAUGAGGCACAAUCCCGACACAAGAUUUCUUAUUUCAACCCGAAUGUGACAAUUCAAACAGAGAAAGGUUUGCACAACUGCGCCGAAUGGCACCAAUUUCGGAAGUCAGGACAUCCAAAUGACGUCAAAACCGACACACUGCUACAGUAACAGAAAGUCCUAAGUAUACUCUAAACAAACCACGCUCUGAUACCAAUCUGACAUGGCCCGAUCCUGAUAUUCCUCGAAUAACAGGAUAAACGCGUGCUGGCCGACACCCGAGGGUGACGAAAGCCAUUUAUUGAGUGCAAAUGCUGAAAACAAGGGAUAGAUAAGACUUAUAAAUAUAAAAGUAUAAAGAAUAUGCAUUUAAGGAAUGUGUUCAGAGCAUACAACUAACUAGAACACUAAAAGAAAUAAUAUAAAAUUGAAUGAAACAAAUGAUGGAUCCUACACCGAGAGGACUCGAAAAUGCCGAUGCGGAAGUGCCCUGACGCCGGGAUUGUAUGUCUCGAUUCUAAGUCCUGAAGGGGCCACAAAACAAACAUGAGUGGACCAAGUUGAUAUAUAUAUAUAAUAAAACAAUUAUCAACGUACUAAUCCCCAGGUUUUAUGAAGAAAAAAACAUAUAUAUCAUGAUAAACAUAAGUUUUCCAAAACCUAGCAUGUUGUGCAAUGUCUCAAAUUAUAACUUGUAUAUAUAAUAAUCACUAGUGAAUGUCCAAAUAUAACCCCCAAGCCCCAUGCUGGCUCCCCGUCUCUGAGCAGACAGUCAGAGAAAAAUACACUACAAGCCCCAUGCCGGCUCCCCGUCCCUGUGCUAAAUAGCUAGAGGAAACACACUCCAGGCCCUAUGCCAACCACAAAUUGUCGUCCGGGAUGGACUGGAAUCUAUCCCUACGUCCCGUAGCGGAAUAAGGACCACUAGGUAAGUACAAAACCAUUGAACAUAUAUAUAUUGAAAAGCAACUUCAUAGUAUAAAGUCAUCUAUCAUCUAUACAAUAAAGAGGUGUUCGAAACAUGUUCUAAAUAUCAUAUCGUCAUCCAUCUAUUCUAUAAGAACACGAGUUAUAGGAAAAAUAGUAGUAAUUCAAACUAGCCUCAGUAAGCAUGUUAUCUCAAAGCAUUUCAUAAAACAUAAUUGUUAAAUCAUGCUUUUCAUGUGUGCAUUUCUACUAUCAAAGCAUGCAUUUUUAGAAUGAGUCCACUCACAGAUACUUCGCCGUUGAAGAGCCACACAAACUAGCGAAGACAAAAACGCCACUAUAAUUGCCCCUAAUCACAUAAAUGGUACAUUUAGUCAAACUCUACUCAAACGAUUGAAUUUGGGAAAAUGGACUUCAAAAACGGGUCCAGGACGUCGAAAUUAGCUUAGGAGAGGUCUCGAACGAAAACCCGAAAAGUCAACGUUAACCGUUGACCGGGACGGUCAACGGGUCACGGGUCCAUCGGGUCGGGUCAGUCAAACCCGGUUUAGGGUUUUGGGUUAGGAAUUGGGUUGGGCUUAGAUUUAGGAUAGGUUGGGUUUUAGGGUAAAAAGGCUUAAGGGAUUUGGGCUUUCAAAAAACAGGCCUCAAGCCUUAACUAAAUGGCCCAAGGGCCUUAAACUUAAAACAAUUAAAAAUAAAACAAAAUAAAUAAGAAAACAAAAAUGGGUUUGGGUUGGGCUCGACAGGAAAGGCCCAAAGGCCUGGUGUGGUUACUGCUUGCCGAAGCUAAACGGAAGGGAAGGCCGAAUUUCGGCCAUAAAACUACACAAACUUUAAACGGCCAUAACUUUGUCCAAACUCAACGAAAUCAAGUGAAACAAAAAUGAAAGUUGUGUUUCUCGAAGAGACAAAGAGAAUGGUACUCGCAAAACAUCUAAAUCACCGUGGUUUGGCCGAAAAACGCCUCGAAAGCCACCGGACUCGCCAAAAACUUGGUAAGAUUCAAAUGACUAUAACUUCUUCAAUACUCAACGAAAUUGGGUGAAACAAAAAGGAAAGUUGUAGUACUCAGAGAGAAAAAGAGAUUUAUACCUUGAACGCUGGCCAAAUCUCCGUGUUUUUGCCGUAAAUUGCCUCGAAAGGGGCGGUCUGUGUCAGAGUUCGUGUACGGGGCCUCAUGGUUCGACUUCGACGACGCCAUGCCUUUGGUUGUGUUCGUAGGGACGAGAUGAAGACAAUGGUGAUGUCAAAAUUGUGAUUUGAUGAUGAUUUUAGGAUAUGGGUUAUGGGUGUGGCGCGGUGAAGGAGAAGAAGAGAAAGGGAGUAUGGGAAAAAGAGAGGAGAAGAGAUAGAGAAAGAAGAGGGCUGAGAGAGUUAUAAAAAUCAGAAAAAGAAAGAAAAGGGGAAGGGAACCGGGGGACAAGGAUCACAUGUGGCCCCUUAGGCACACCAAUUAAGACCAAAAACCAUUUUUAAAAGGAAAACUAUCCACAAACUUAGUGAAAAUUCAAAAAUACCAUUUUUGUUCCAUAAAUCCUGGGACGGUGGUUACAAUCGAGACAUACAAUCCCGGCGUCAAGGCACUUCCUCAUCGACAUCUUCGAGUCCUCUCGGUGUAGGACGCAUAUCCUUUUAUUCAUUCAAUUUUAUAUUAUUUCUUUUAGUAUUCUAGUUAGUUGUAUGCUCUGAACAUGUUCCUUAAAUGCAUAUUCUUUAUUCUUUUAUAUUUAUAAAUCUUAUAUAUCCCUUGUUUUCAGUAAGUGCACUCAAUAAAUGGCUUUCGUCACCUUCGGGUGUCGGCCAGUAUGUGCUUAUCCUGGUAUUCAGGGAAUAUCGGGAUCGGGGCGUGUCAAAAACACUUUGAAAGUUGGCUGAUUGGUGAAUAUAUUGUGUGAUGGUUAGAUAUUCAACCUAUGCUUAUAUAGAGGAUGAUUGAAGGUUUGCGUUUCAUGUGUGUAGGUUUGUAUUUUAUGCGUUUCAUGUGUUUUGUAUGUAUUUGGUAUGUGUUUUGUGUGUGUCAUGUGUUUCACAUGUUUGGUGUGUUAUACAUCUUUAUCAUGUGUUUUGUAUGUGCUUCAUAUGUAUUAUGUGUGUCUUUUGUGUUUACACAUCUCUAUCAUGAUUUUCAUAUUCUUCCAUAGUGUUUCAUGAAUUUCAUGUAUUGAUUUAGUGAUUUUUCAAUAUUUAUCCGAAUUUAAAUAUUUUUAAGUUAAAAUGUUCAUAAAAUUAAUUUAAGAUAAUCUACAUAUUUUUUUUAAAGUUAAUUUAAAAAAAAAAUAGCCUAAAUUCAUUCUUUAAUAAUUUGAGGUUAAAAUUUUAGGAUAAAAGGGUUGGAGCAGAAAAUAUGUUCUAGGUUAAAACCUAAAUUUUCUGAGGUAAAAAUUUUAGGUUUUACUCCAAGGGUUGGAGAUGGUUCAAGUGCACAGGUCGUUGGUGGCCUGCACUUAUUGUAACAGAAGAAAGUUAAGAAACCAUCUGGUAAUGAUAUAUGAUGAAAUAACCAUCACUCAUUACUACCACAUAAAUUAAUAACAUUACGAGACGGUGCGUGCAGAGAAGGUGCGCAAAGACACAAAAAGUUUUCGUAGAUGGCUAAGCUGAUGUUAUGAACCUAGAGUAUAUUAUUAACAAAUAAAUACAUGUGCUAUAAUAUGAGUGAAUUUAUAACACUCGUAAUCAAGUUCAUAAAGUAGUAAAAAGUUAGAGCUCAUUUGGAAGUGCCUUUAAAAUGAUUGAAAACACUUUUAGAGAAAAUGUUUGGGGUUCCAAAAGCAACUAAAGUGCUUCCUGGAAGAAGCACUGGUUAUGUGCUUCUUCCAGAAAGCACUUCAAGUACUUUUUCACGAUUCACUUGCGUUUUUACCAAGAAUUGAUUUCAAAAACAUUUACACCAAAACUUUUUCAAUCAAUUUAAAAGCACUUUCAAACGAGAUAUUAAUGACAUCCACAUCUCUUUUGCAAUUAAAGAAAGUGGGCUUUUGCAAUGGAUCAGUUUCAUUUCAUAGAAAAGUCACUUUGCCCAAGAACACAUAACCCAACCCAAACCCUAAAUUUACUUGCAGGCUAGCCCAACCUAUAAAGGCCUAAAUAGUGGCUUACAACUAGCUACACCGACGCGGGCUAUGGUUGCGGCUGAGCUCACUAGAUUCCGCACCAGUCAGUGCUCCAAAAGAAAAAUUCGAACCAGAAUUCAAGGUUGUAUUGUUCGACCUUAAUACCAGUUGAAGGGUUUUCUUUGCUUGCUCUUGAAGAUCUUAGAUUUCUUCAUCCUCCAUUUCCAGAAUGUUCAAGAAGUAAGCUUUAUAUAUAUUGUCAAUAUAUUGUACGUAUAGGUGUUUAUUUUUAAAUAUAUGUUAUUUGUUUGCUUAGUUUUUUUUUUUUUUUUUUAUCAUUGAGGCAUAUGAUUUCUGGGUUUGGUUUAAUUCGAUGAAAAAUUAAACAGCGUUUCAAUUUUGUUUUCAUUUGUGUUUUCUGAUUAUAUACUUUUAUGGGUUUUAAUUUUGGAUUUAUGCCCUGAAGUUUAUAUGUUAUUUUGUGUAAUUGGAAGUAUAAAUUUGAAUACUUGGAGCUAACGGACGGAAAAUCAAGCGCAGUGGCGUUCUAGGAUUCAUACAGCCGACUCAUAAGGCGUUGUUGUUGUUGUGGAAGUAUAAAUUGGAAUUGUGCCAUUGCUUCUCUGUGGUUUAAGCAACCGUUCUAAAGCUUGAUCCUUCUCAGCAAAGUUGGUUUUGUGCUGUAUGUGGGAUGUUUUGAUGUUAAAAUGAAGCUUGAAAGGUCACUUCUUUUUGGUUUUUAUGGAAGAUGAGGUUAAUUAUUUGGGGAGGAUGGUUAGGGUUCUCAAAUAUUUGUUUUUGUGUGGGAGCGGUUUGGAGUAGCAAAUUUUUGUUUUGUGUUGCAAUAGAUGCGUAAGGGGAAUAUUUCGUAAUAUGAUUGCAUAAUACGUGUGUAAUGUUGUAGGUUUUCUACUGAAGAGGUGUCUGCACAAAAUCAAGUUAAGGCAUCUGUCCAGCGCAAAAUUCGGCAGAGUAUUGCAGAUGAGGUAAGAUGAUUAGGUUCAUAGGAAUUUCACGGAUGCUUUAAGAUACGCUUUACAUAUGUCUGUAACACAAAGUUAACUUCAACUGCAGUACCCGGGACUCGAACAGGUGUUGGAAGAUUUGAUCCCAAAGAAAUCUCCUCUUAUUGUGGCUAAAUGGUUUGUCGCUCUGUUGGUCCUGCUUCUGUGUUUUACUUAUUGACUCAGCUAUUUGUUUCAUGCUGCCUUAUCUCCAUGUAUCUAACAUUGUCUUCCACAUGCUCGACUUUUGCAGUCAGAACCAUCUAAAUCUGGUGGUGGUAAACAACGUGCCACUAUUUUUCAACAUUCGUGAUGGACCGUAUAUGCCUACCCUAAGACUUCUUCAUCAAUGUAAAAGUUUCUUUACCGCCAAAAUGCCUUAUCUCAAUAAGUCUGGUCUAUGAACCAGUUAUGCAAUCCUUGAUUUGCUUCUUCUUUUGAGUGGAUUAUUUUAUUUUUCUCAAAUAAAAAGCUACAUAGUUGGUGAAUUUUCCUUCCAAAUAGUUGUAACUGAGAAAGCUCGGGGUUUCUUACGGGUUUUACAGAUCCAGACAUAAUGAAAAAGUUGCAAGUAGAUAGGGGCGCCAUAAGGUUUGUUCUCUCUGGUGCAAACAUAAUGUGUCCAGGUCUAACUUCUCCCGGUGGUUCUUUGGAUGAUGAAGUGGGUGCAGAAACUCCCGUGGUAGGAGUUUUAUGUCUCUUUUUUUCUUUGUAUUAAUGUAAUGUCAUACUCAUGUUAGAACCUUUUUUUUUUGUUCAAAUGUUAGGUUGAGUUGAUUUAAAUAAUUGUCUUGUCACGAGACGGAAAUGUUGAAGUUCAGUUUGUUUUGUAUGUCUCUGAUUUGUAAAACUGAUUACGCUCAGGCAAUAAUGGCAGAAGGAAAACAACAUGCUCUUGCUAUUGGCUUCACAAAAAUGUCAGCAAAAGAAAUGUAAGUUAUUUUCUUAUUCGAAGGACAUUAUCGUUGCUUCUCCUAGAGUAAUGCCUUGGGUACCCUUAGAAUAUUGAGGACAAGAUAUAUAAUACGAGAGCCUAACUUGCAUUACCGACCUCAAAUCUAGCUUAGUUAUCUGUUGCUGAUUGUCGUAUUUACAAAGUUGAGUCUUCCCCUUGGUUUGCAGAAGAGAUAUCAACAAGGGAAUCGGAGUUGACAACAUGCAUUAUCUUAACGAUGGUCUUUGGAAGGUACGUCAGUGUCUACUUUGUAUUUAUGGCCAUUGCCAGUGUUUUAACUAGUGUUUCGUUGUUAAAUCUUUCGCCUUGCUAUGCAGAUGGAACAUCUAGAUUGAAGAUACUCAAGACUAUCCGUGGUAUCAUCAACAAGAAAUGAAGAACACAUGUUAGUUUCAUCGAUGUGGUCUUGACUUUACUGUUUUUCGGAGUGUUAGGUCCGAGCUUUACAAGUCACGAGUAUACCCUAACCGUAUUUACAUGUUUUGUAUUUGUACGUGGAGUGAUCAUCUUUAUCAAAUUCAUCGUAAGAUGGUCAUAUCCAUUUUGUGAUACAAUUUAGAGGUAUUUUUCUUAUAUGAUGUAAGAGGUGAAUUCCCAACUCCCAAGCAUAUGUUUUGACAUCUUUUCCAGUGAACUAUAUGUCUUUGCGAAGAUAAAUGAACGAAAUUAUGAUUUCCUCUUAGACAGCUGCGUAAUCUUUGAAAUUUCAUCGUGAUGUUGGUCUUCAACGAGGAAUUCCUAGUAAGCGCGAGUCAUCAGCUCGUGUUGACUACGUUCCUGCCCUUUGUACACACCACCCCUCGUACCGAUUGAAUGGUCCGGAAAAGUGUUCGGAUCGCGGCGACGAUCGAUUGCUUGAGAAGAAUGCAAGUGAGGAAAUGCUAAAACUAGCACAUUUCGGUGCUCGCAGAAUAGCAAAGGGGCAACAAACUUUUUAAAACUAAACGUUUUCCGUACUAGAAAUACAUCUUUUACUUGUUUUUCCUACUUCUCGAACUAUCAGGAGAUUUCUGGCUGAUCUUGGCUUCAAAUUUCCUGAUUCGUAGAGCGGCUACAUUGUGGCUCUGGCUACGUCUUUAUCGUUUGCUGCAUAUUGACAUGAACAAAGAAAAGAUCAACAGCGAAGCGAAAAACGAUCCAAGUUAGCAACACUGCAAAAUCUCAUUAUGGCAAUCGAAAUGUGGCGGCAGAAGAAGGGCAUACCUUACAGACAAUAGGCCGGCUGUAAGAACCAAUCCUCCGACGGCCCAAGAAACUCGUUCACUAAAUGGCAUGUCCCUCCACCUCUGCUGGAAUUCAGCCUCAAGCUCUCAGCUUUCUGGAGCACCUCAGAAGGUGAAGCCUUCCAUGAAUCAGCAAUCAAGUCAAGACUGGCUUUACCAACAACAACAACAACAACAAAGCCUUUUCCCACUAAGUGGGGUCGGCUCAAGACUGGCUUUACCGCAGUAGCAAAAUGCUUCUUCGUUGCUCACGGAUGCAUCAUCUUUAACAGCAAAUCCUGCCGCAUGGCAGAACUCUGUGCCAUUAAGAAUCCAUUCCGAGGCCCUGCCGCAAACAUAAUCACUUACUCCACAUGGUGCUAGAACCUGGAAGAAGGUAAUUAAUCAGAAAAUGCAAUUCCCUAAUGCACCCAAAAGAGAUCAGUUUAAUCACCUAUUUAUUUGGUUAUGUCAAAUUAUAAGUCGGUAAAAAAAAUUCCUCGACUGGAAGUUAAAGGUCUCCCACAUACCUGUGUUAUUGCAUCUGUCGAGUAGUAAGCCUCAGCACAAGCCUCAAAAACCCUGUCACAGAAAGAGGCACAUAUAGCUGGAGGUCCUGACUGCACGCCAAUGCAGGGAUCACAGAUGGAACAUUCCAGUAAUUCCCACAAAUGCAAGCACUCUGGGCCAGCUUCCCCUGAUGAAGCCAACUUCCUAACGGAUACCAGUGCAGGCUGUGUCUGGGCUACAUCACAGCAAGUUUUUUGCGGAACACUCUGCAAAGGGUCAGAUCUUUGGGUCCCUUACUCAGAUGUUUUGGAGGUUUUCCCUCGGAAGACAAUGGUGGGAAACGACCGCCUUGAGAAAUGCAUACACUGUCAGGUUUACCUACAACUAAAACAGAUGUAGAUAACGUUUAAUGACCAACUAGCGUACAUGCAAAAAUCAUUUGAAAACCAUGUAAAAACUUCUUUACAUAGGAAUUGAAUUUCUCCAAAAUAAUUUGUUAACUUAAGACUCUUGAAGAUGAUUGCCACUGCGAAACGGAAAAGCCUAAAGUAUUGCCCCACAAGAAAUGCAAUUACGUUCUUGCUUGGGAUUCUUGGGAAGAACCAGAAUUUCUUCUGGUUGCCUUUAAGUUAAAGAGAUAAACCAUGCUUACAUGCAUAAAUCAGAUUACAAGAGCAACACCGAUACGAGGCCAAAUCCAGAAAGCAGAUGCCAUUCUGCUGAUUUAAGGAAACAACAAGCAGAUUGCGUCCAAUUUCCACACCGCUAUGAAAAAUGAACAAUGACCAUGCACUCGUAAGAUGUGAUAAGGCAGUCGGGGCACGCCAAAGACACCUUAUGUCAGCUUCAAAAAAAGAGCAAGCCCCUUCAUGGCUUGUCAACCAGAGACAUAAUUAACAUAGACCUCCACACAAGAUUCUAAAAGACGCUAGCUGUUAGUUGAACGGCAAGCUGGGGCCUAGCACCUAGGUGGCUAGGCGGGCCUAGACGGGCGCCUAGAUGAACAAGACGGAUUUAAGUAAAUCUAUUAUAUUUCGUGUAAAUAAGCGUCUGUUUAUACUUAAAAAAUAUAUAAUUUCAUUAUAAACUACAAAAUAGAAUGACAUAUAUAUUAGGAAGUAUUGGAACAUAAUGAAAACAUGGGGAACAAGCAUAUAAUGGGUAUUCGUUUAAGUAUUCAACAAGUAUCUUACAAUUUAUUAAAAAAAUAAAAUACAAAAUGAAAGUUAUCUAUUUUUUAACCAAAUAAGUCACAACUUAGACAGGUGCCUAGGUGGUCUAGGUGGUCUAGGCGGACGCCUCAACAGGUCUAGACGCUCUUUCUUAAUUUUCAAAGGCUUAAACAUUAAUCAAGGUAGUGACCAACCGCCUAGCACCUAGGUGGGGAUUUUUGGAACAGUGCCUCCACGUCAAACUGAUUCUAGCCUACCUCAACUUCCCUCAACCGAAUAUGUUACAUCCGCAAUGCGGAACUAUAGCUCAUACAAACCUUAUGUUUUGGCACACUGGAGACAGAAGUCUAACCUAGUGUGAGAAAAUGGAAAUCUCACUGUUGCAAUUCUCAUGUCAGAGCAGAUAUCCAGUGAUGUCUGCAUACAGUAGACUGAAACUGUACCGAUCAAGUGCAAAAAGAUGGGACUUUCUGAAUCCUAUCUGGAUUUUUUUUUUUUUUUUUUGAACAUCUAUCUGGAUUUUGACUAAUUCUACAAUCCAAAAAAUAAAAUAAAAAUACAAAUCCAUGAUGUCAUUGUUCUCCUAAAAAACUGAUCGUUUUCGAUGGCUGCAAAGUUGGGACACUACGAAAUCGACUCCAAAACUGUUCGCUGAUUAAUUUCAACACAAAGGUCCCGAAAAUCAAACAAUUAGGAUCUGAAAACAAACAAGAAAAAUGAUAUUAUAUAUAUAUAUAUAUAUAUAUAUAUAUAUAUAUAUAUCUGUGUGUGUGUAUUUAUGUACGUAUUUACCAGUUAAAGAGGGGACGAGUGUAUUGAGAAGGAGCAGCAGGAUCAGAGACGCGCAACCCAUUUUUCAUCACUCGGUGGUUUCUUAGUUCUCAAAAAUUUUAAUUUUAAUUGAAAAAUGACAAAUAAAGUUGUAAGUGAAUAGUACAAAAAAAGAUAAAAAUAUGGUUUUUCAUAAAAAAAAAAUAAAUGGUACCAAAAGUGUUUCGUUAAAACUCACAAACAAAAUCCGAUCCGGUGAGAACGGUGGCUGUGGUGGGUACCCGGUGACCCAAUGUACCACAGGUCUCAGGUCUGCGGUGAUGGACCCAAACUUCUAACUGGGUCGGAAGGGAAACAUGGACUCAGGUUGGAGGCCCAUAUAUGUUGCCCUUUCGUUUCUAUACUUAUUUUUACAUAUUUCUAUAAACAUCCACAUAAAUUUCUAAUAUUUCUAAUUUAUUCCUGCUUAAAAUAGAGAAAUAAAAAUUGGCACCAUUCCAAACCCUUUCUGUUUUUUGGUCAAGGAGGAAUUUUAUAACAAAGUCCAAACGGACGCAGUAGAAAGAUAACAGCUUCAUAAUUGAGGUAGGUACAAAUGAGACGUCACUUGUACAUUCAUCGCAUGAGUAAAGGUUCUCAAUUAUACCUAAAGCAUACAAAAAAAUUACAAGAGAUAUGGCUCGGCCCAAAAGCCGAAGUCCACCCGAAGAGGCCCAAAAGUGACCCCUCCGAAAAAAUCUAAUAACCCUAAAACGAGAAUCACCCACCGCCUCAACCGCCUCACCAUUCCAAACCCUUCUUGAUUCUUAUUCUCCUUCUUUCGCCUUCUCUUAAUUCUUCUCCAAACACAGAUUUGCCAUUGGGCUCCACUGCAUCUGGAAUUGACAGUGCACUGUGCACUGCAACAGUGGCUCAGAAAAGGACGACGCCGUUUCCCAAAUUCUCAGUCAAGCACCGCCUGAAAUCCUUAUGGCCCUAGAGCACCAAGAGGAGGUGGCGGACCCACAUACCAUGGGAUGGCUCUCGUAUGAGGGGUAUACUUAGGGAAUAAAUUUAAUUUAAAUAAUUGAAUAUGCAACGGAAAAAUAAUAAAUAACAUACAAUAUGUUAUUCCAAUAUGCUAAAAAUGUCUCUAUAAUCUUAUCAAAUAGUGCUAAUAGCAUUUUAACAACUACACAACACCAAAGUGCGUCGAAGUGAGGCACCUGAUGAGCCUAAAAACAGAGGUGGAUGGUUUAAGGGUUGCGAUGGAAAGCAAUAUUGGAGCAAAAAAGGGGCAUAAAAACCCAAAUUUUGAGACGAAAGGUCAAGAAAACCAAAAUACAAGGGGUCUAAGUAAAAUACAGAGAAGCUAAGGAGACAAAGGAGAAGGAAAAGUAGUUGGAAUUGGCCAGAGAAGGGGGUUGCCAUCGACCCCCACCCAAAGUAGGUGUUGGUGGCAUUGUCUUCAUGAUUCAGCGUGUCCGUGUUUGUCUUAUCCAUUUUGCUUUAAUGUCUUUGUGUUUUUUAAAACUUCCAUGUUAUGUAUCAUUGAGGGCUUCAAAAAGAAAAAUAAAGAACGGUUAGAUCUUUCAUGUUGCGUUCUAAUUAUCUUUGCAAUGAUUAAAUUUUUUAUAAAACUCCUACUUGAAUGGUAUGUACUAUUGCAGUCGAACUUUUAUUAGUAUUUAAUAUAACAGGAUAGUGUUAUUUACACAUCUGUUUUACCCACACGCAUUUGUUAAUUUUGAACCAUCAAAUUUCUUCAAUUCAUUCGAUUAGACGGUUGGAUAUUGACCUCUCGUUGAUUUCUGUUCUUUGAUAUUUUUCAAUUCAUCUUAUCAGACAUCCGAAAAUUAAAAAAAUGUGUGAAUAUCACACCCCUAAUAAAAAAUGGUGGAUAGCACUACCCUAAUAAGGUUAGUGGAGUGUCAACUUCAUCUCUCGUAUUUUUCCACUCUUCAAAGUGAAGAUAUAUGAAUCUCAUCAUAUAGAUAAGAUUCUGUUAUAAGCUUAUCGUCAUAUCAAUGCUAGGUUAGGUUAGCGGCAGCGGCAUGGUCCCUUUUGGCCCAUACGUCCGUACACAGCUCCGUUAACUUAUCACGGAUGGGCAUUAGGAUAAGUUCUACUAGAUACCAGAAUCCCAGAUGGAAAAUUUAUCUCGUGUUCUCUGUACAAGUUAUACUAACGAGAGCAUCUUUCAACAAUCCAGAUGGAUAAGCAAUAACGGAGUUGUACCAACGGAAAUUUCAAUCGACGUUAGAUUCAUAUCCAUGUUUCUGGCAUCAAGUUAGGGUCUCGGAAAAUAGGGUCCCCUCUGGCAAUGGCCGGAUCGACAUAGAGAUUCGGAUGAUACCAAUAACCUCCGACAGUCCGACUGCCCGAAAAAUACAUGCGAAGGUCUUUCGAGGACUAUCCAAAUGUAUGACACAGACUCAUUAAUAGUAUGAUGAAAUGCCUUCCAAAAAUAUCUUGACAACAUUUGGCUAGACAUGUCAACCAUGCCUAGCCUGAGAUCUCAACAGCACUCGACAAGUUUUUUUGGCUUUGUUAAUACAACGCAAUAACGAUCGGUCCACUAAAUGCUCGACAAAUUUUUACGUGUUACGCGCACAUUAGUUUCUUUUUGUGUGCAUAUUUUUUAAAAUUUUAUUUGUGUUUGUACCCAUGUGUAUGUCAUCAUGUAACAUUGUAUAUUUAAUCAAUGAUAGAAAAAUUACAUAUGGUAUAUUUAUGUUUUAUGCCUAACUUUUGUAUCAUAUAUUUAUAUUUUUAGUUUGUACCCACUUUUAAUUUGCAACAUUUUUUAAAAAAAUUUGUAGUAUUUUCUUUUUAAUUUUAUUUUGUACCCAUGUAUUAAUUUCUUUUAGUGCCUAUAUUUUUUAAGUACCAAUUUUUUUAACACUAUGAAUACAUUCUUUUGUCAUUUAUUAUUUCUUAUUUUUACAUAGUUUUUAUCCAUUUAUUCAAUUAAAAUGUUUGAAUUUUUUUAUUGUAACCGUUUCUAAUAGUAUUAUAACGAAGAAUUUAAAAUUUAUAGGAUAAUAAAUUUCAUAAAAUAUCAAACAAUUAAUAUCAAAACUAUAAAAAAUAUAAAUAUUAAUUGUAAUAUAAUGAGGUGUACAAAGUCAAUAAACUUUAAUUAAACUUUGAAUACCAUUAAAAUUUUAGUCAAAGAAUGUUAAGGAUUAAAAACCGCAUCCAAAAUAUCCCUUAAUUGUAUGACGAAAUGCCUUCCAAAAAUAUCUUGACAACAUAUCUUGACAACAUUUGGCUAGACGUAUCAACCAUGCCCACCCUGAGAUCUCUCGACAGCACUCUGACAAGUUUCUUUGGCUUUGUUAAUAUAAUUCAAUAACGAUCGGUCCACCAAAUGCUCGACAAAUUUUUGCGUAGCCGCGCACAUUAUUCAUCUAAAUAGAACCUGAAUGUUUUAGGCUGAAAUUCUUAAUCCUGAAUCCGCCAGCCAUACGUCCACACUUACAACUACGACGAAUAGCGCCCAUGGAUAAGAUAUCUUUCUACAAACGAGAAGUAUUGACACAAGCACCAGAUUAUAUAGAUCCAGUACCACAUCAUAAUACAUUACACAUGCACGAACUAAUAUGCAGUUUUAUUAUUCAAAAUACAACAGCAGGAACUUGUAAGGGAAAAUUAAACACUCUCUUUACAAAUAACAGCAGAGAUUAUGCAGAUUUAGCAACAUGGAAACCCUAGCAACUCGGAACGAACACACCCAAACCCUAGCAACAGCGGAGAUUCAACCACUAUACUUAUAUAGUCGCACAUGCACUAGAUUGAAACUCAGAACAAACAACACCCAAAACCCUACGUGGAAACCCUAGACAGUUUCUUUUUUCCUUCCAGCCAUGGCUAAACCGUCCACAGAAAAC
rnacentral:lncRNA from 1 species